UGAUCAACGGUUCAACGGCCUAAUUAUAUAUCUCCAUAUAUAUAUAAAAAGGGACACUUUGGAUGCGGUCCCUAGCUAUCAAUAUUCUUUGAUUGAAAACUUGUUAGUUUUUAGUUUUUUAUUGAGGUCCCUGACAUUAAUGUAAUAAUGUAAGUUACUAUAUUUUUUAAAUUAAAAAUUAAAAAUUGAAAUUUGAAAUUUGUAAUUGUUUAUAUUAAUGAGAUUUUAAAUAAAACCCAUAAUUUAUGGGAUUAAAAAUAAUAAAAUAUAAAUUAUACUCUAUUAUAUUGUGUGUGUGUGUACAUAUAUGUAUGGGUACAUUAACCAAAAUUAACAAAAAAAGUUAUUGUACCAAAACAUGGAUACAUUCUCAGAUCAACGAAAAAGAAUGUAUCCAUAUAAGUUUAAACAUGGAUUAAAAAAUUUGAAUGGAUUUUAUAUUAAAAAAAAGGGUACAUUUUACAUAUAACAAAUUGAUAUAUUUGAGAAUGGGUACAUUUAAGAUUAAAAAAAUUGAAAAAUUAUAUGAAUGGGUACAUUUAAGAUUAAAAAAUUGAGAAUCUUUUUAUGUAUAAAAAAAAACUAAUAGGUACAAACUUAAUUUAAUUUAAUGUUUUAUUAUUUUGGAAAUGUUUGAAUUGAAAAUUAAUUAGAAGUUUAAUAGAGGUGUGAGUAUUAAACCCUAAAUUAAUUACUAAUUUUUAUAUUAAAAAAUUAUAUAAUAAACAUGUAAAUUCAUUAUCACAUUAUUGCUAGGGACUUGAAUCAAAAUUUAAGAACUAAUAAGGUCUUAGUCAAUGAACAGUAAGAACUAAGGAUCGGAUACUAAUUUUUUCUAUAUAAUAUUAAUAAGAAGAUCCAUGCAUCAUGCAUGAUAUAUUACUGCAAUGCAAGAGUGAGAUACGGUCUUUCUGUAUGUAAUUUUGACUUCAAGAAUUUUAGCUAUAGCACACCCCUUGUAUUGGUGUGGAUUAAGAUGAAAGAGCACCGACUUCGGUGGCAAUUAUCAGUAGCCACCAUGCAGCCACUGAAUAAGAAUCCAUGUCCUAUGUAAACAUCUUCAUUGUAACAAACGCCACUAUUUCUACAUCCGUGUAAAAAGGUAAUAGUACAAGUCUCAUUAUAUUCGAUCUUUUUAUUUAAAAUAGGAAGUUUAACGAAAAGUUCCUGGAAUUGUUUACUUUAACGAAAAAUCAUAUUUUUACACUAAAAAGUUAAUCAUGAUAUUAUUCACUUUACUAUUUAUUUUAUUUUUAUCAUUAAAACAAAAAGUUUUCAGACACUUUUUAUUAGUUUUCUUUUAUUUAUUUAUAAUUAAAAAUAGUAAGUAAAUCUUGUUAGAGAAAAUGUCCUUUUUGCAUCAGUGUCCAGAUAAGAUGAGAGAAAAUCGGUUACGGUGGUUUGGACAUGUGCAAAGAAGGCCUACUGACGCUCCGAUUAGAAGAUGCGACUAUGGGACAGAGGUUCAGGGCCGAAGGGGUAGAGGAAGACCUAGGAAAACUUUGGAAGAGACUCUAAGAAAAGACUUAGAGUACUUGGAUCUAACGAAGGACAUGACACAGGAUCGAGCACAAUGGCGUUCUAAGAUUCAUAUAGCCGAUCCCACUCAGUGACUUGGAUUUUCCAAGUCUCCAACCGAGAAGUUUUCCUCACUCGGGAAAUUAAGGGAACACUACCCCAACCUACAUGCUCCACUCAGAAAGCUUCAACAUACAAGCUUCAACAUACAAGCUUCAACAAAAGAAAAUUCAAAGAACUUAACGAAGAAGGCUUUGGUGUAUUUAACACAAUACGUUGAAAUGAAGGAAAGCUUAUUUAUUGAUAUUCCCGAUAAGCUACAAAUAUGUACAUAUACAUGAGUCAAAAUAAACACACAAGAGGAAGCCUUCACAAAGGUUGCUUAGGAGAAGUCUCAGCAGUCGGUAGAGCCCCAGAAAGAGAAGGCACCGGAGGGGGAUCAUUUGGAGCCUCAGUACUGGACAGAACCCUAGAAGGAGGAGGCAUCAGAGGUUGAUCAUUUGGAGCUUCAUUACGCGGUACAGCCCCAGAAGACGAAGGCAAUAAAUGCCUUUGGAACAAACCCACAAAUCUCUGAUGAUCAAGUAAAACCUGACCAUCAGUUUCCUUCAUCUGGUCAAGCUUCCUCUUCAUGUUUGUAGCAUAGUCAUGUGCGAGCCGGUGCAACUGUUUAUUCUCAUGCUUGAGCCCUCUAAUCUCAUGUUUGAGACUCAUCACUUCAGCCGCCAAUGAUUCAACUUGGCGGGUUCGAGCAAAUAGGCGUUGGGCCAUAUUAGACACAGAACCUGCACACUGAACACUGAGAGCCAGCGAAUCCUUAACAGCUAACUCAUCAGACCGUUUGGAAAGUAGUCUGUUAUCUUUGGGAGUGAGAAGGUUCCUGGCCACCACCGCAGCGGUCAUAUCAUUCUUCAUCACGGAAUCCCCAACGGUAAGAGGACCAGUAGGGGAGACGAAGGAUGGGCCCAUAUGUUGUCUGGAGAAGGCGGGGCUGCCUCUUCAACAAGGUUCAAGUCAAAACGACGGUCGGAGGGGCCAGACAUUUUCAAAGGUGUUGAAGAGAGAAGAGGUCGGACAAAUCAAGAUCUUAGAAGUGCAAGAAUGAAGCUUCUACUGGUGGAGAUUCAAGUGUGGUUUGGAACUUAAUGCCAGCCCCUAUAAAAAUCUGCACUCGACGGAGCUUCAGAAAUCGAAGAGGCGCCUGCUCAGAAAUCGAAGAGGCGUUUGCUUUCUCAAAAGUUGGGCUACUUAGAGAUCACGAGGGUUGAUCUCAGAAAUCGAAGAGGUGUUUGCUUUCUCAAAAGUUGGGCUGCUCAAAGACCACGAAGGCCGAUCUCAGAAAUCGAAGAGGCGCUCGCUUUCUCAAAAGCUGGGCUCCCCAGAGACCACGAGGGCCGAUCUCAGAAAUCGAAGAGGCACCUACUUUUUCCAACCUUGUCAGCACCUGUCACACGCACACUCAGCUUUACGGAAAUUAUGGGCAUUCUGUCAAAGACUUCUGGGGAAGUAGAAAACACAUGAAUCUUACUGUUCAAUCACCCAUUUCCCACACGCAACAAUAGCUCAUGGGUACCACAGAUAACUUUGCCAAAGUUCUCUCUGCCAAAGUUGAGCACGUGAAGCUUGCAGCUCCCACUACAUCGCUCUGACCAAGAAGGGUAAAAGAAUAGCAAAGAAACAGCACUAACAAAGUUUAGACCCAUAAAUUUUGAAGGUCUAGCUACCAUAUUAUUACCCACAAGGGUAAAGGAACAGUACCAUUGCUGGAUAAUUGGAAAGUCCCUGUGUGUCAACCUCUGUGCUUCGUGGCAAGGUAGACUAGCAAACAUGCCCAACCUUUACUCACAUUCGAGAAAACACUCCCAAUAAGAUUGCUUGCUCCAAAAUCAAAGAGGCACCGCUCUCCGAAUCUCGAGAGCCAGACUCCCAACAUGAUUACUUUCUCAAAAAUCGAAGAGACACUGCUCCCCGAAUCUCGAGAGCCAGACCCCCAGCAUGAUUGCUUUCUCAAAAAUCGAUGAGGCAUCGUUCUCCGAAUCAAUCGAAGAGGCGCUCGCUUUCUCAAAAGCUGGGCUGCUCAUAGACCACGAGGGCCGAUCUCAGAAAUGAAAGAGGCACCUACUUUUCUAGCCUUGUCAGCACCUGUCACACACACACUCAGCUUUGCAGAAAUUAUGGGCAUUCUGUCGAAGACUUCUGGUGAAGUAGAAAGCACAUGAAUCUUACUGUUCAAUCACUCACUUCCCACACGCAAUAAUAACUCAUGGGUACCACAGAUAACUUUGCCAAAGUUCUCUGCCAAAGUUGAGCACGUGAAGCUUGCAGCUCCCACUACAUCGCUCUGACCAAGAAAGGUAAAAGAAUAACAAAGAAACAGCACUAACAAAGUUUAGACACAUAAAUUUUGAAGGUCUAGCUACCAUAUUAUUACCCACAAGGCUAAAGGAACAAUACCACUGCUGGAUAAUUGGAAAGUCCCUGUGUGUCAACCUCUGUGCUUCGUGGCAAGGUAGACUAGCAAACAUGCCCAACCUUUACUCACAUUCGAGAAAACACUCCCAACAAGAUUGCUUGCUCCAAAAUCGAAGAGGCACCGUCCUCUGAAUCUAAAGAGCCAGACUCCCAACAUGACUACUUUCUCAAAAUCGAAGAGAGGGUAAAGGAACAGUACCAUUGCUGGAUAAUUGGAAAGUCCCUGUGUGUCAACCUUUGUGCUUCGUGGCAAGGUAGACUAGCAAACAUGCCCAACCUUUACUCACAUUCGAGACAACACUCCCAACAAGAUUGCUUGCUCCAAAAUCGAAGAGGCACCGCCCUCCGAAUCUCGAGAGCCAGACUCCCAACACAUGAUUACUUCCUCAAAAAUCGAAGAGACACUGCUCUCCGAAUCUCGAGAGUCAGACCCCCAGCAUGAUUGCUUUCUCAAAAAAUCGAAGAGGCAUUGUUCUCCGAAUCUCGAGAGCCAUAUACCACAGACCACUUUUUCAAAGUGCUCUGACAGAGUUAAAACAUGUGAAACUGGCAGCUCCCACUACUGUGCUAUGACCAAGCAGGGUAAAGGAAUAGCAUUACUACUUGUUGUUAGGGAGACUCCUAUAUAUGUCGACCUCCAUCCCCAACGGACAGGCAGACUUGCAAAAAUGCUCAACCCUUCAUCAUAUCUGAGAGGGCACUCCCAACGAAGCCUUUCGAAAUAUUCAGCUUUCUUUCCCCCCGAUAAUACCUCUGCAAACAAGUAUACUAGAGCAAGAAUAUCUCAUAUCAUCAGGGUUAAAAGCAAGAGUAUCCCAUAUCAUGCUUUUUCCCUGUCUUUUCUUUUGGCCUUGUUUUUACCUGCAAGACAAGGAGAAAGAGAGCAAUCAGUCAGCACUUGGAAUCAAGCUUCCAGCCAGGAACUGACUGCCUGGAACCCCUUACCUGAUUACUUACCUGGCAUUGCUCUCGAGUACUCAUCUUCAACAUCUUAUGUUUCCAGGGAAGAUUCCGCAUCUGCUUGAGGAACAGAUAGGGCAAGUGCGAAGGAUACAAGGAAGCAUGUGGAGACAAGCGUAACAGCACACGUGCCGAUACAUCCAUUACUCUGUCAAAAGCAAAAGUAUCCCAUAUCAGCAGGGUGGAACGUACUCUAGAUUUGAUGGACUUGUUUUGACCCUCAAAUUCUUCAGUCGGCCUUAUACUCUGGAGGAAACCAAAAAAACCCUCCAGCUCAGUUCAAGAAUAAGCCUGUGGAACGUUACUUCUUCAAAAGCAAAAGUAUCUCAUAUCAUCUCUUCUCAUUUUUCUUCUCUUUAUCCUUCAUGCUGCUGCAAGAUGGGGAGAAGGUGAACAAUCAGUCGGAGCUCUGAUUGCUUACCUUGUCUGUCACCUCUUUCAGCAGACCCCCUAGCUCGGCGACUUGGGGGACUCCUACUACAUGGUUUGUAUCGCGCUUGACCAAGCCUGAAAACUACAAGUAAGCUUCAAGUGAAAUUGAUACAUUUACCUUGUGCAUCUCCACCAGUUAAAGAUACCACCCCUGGAUGGAGGAAGAGUACUUCCAGAGAAGAUGCCACAUCUACCUAUGAGACAGAUAAGGCAAGUCAAGACGACACCACACUCCGAUACUUAGAAGUUUCGUGAUUACGAGAUCAUUCUCCCACAAUAUUUCCUAAUGUCAUUUGUACUAAAAUCAUUCACUUGUACUCACUAAAGGAGAGCUUGAACCUAUGUACUUGUGUAAACCCUUCACAAUUAAUGAGAACUCUUCUAUUCCGUGGACGUAGCCAAUCUGGGUGAACCACGUACAUCUUGUGUUUGUUUUCCUAUCUCUAUCCAUUUAUAUACUUAUCCACACUAAUGACCGGAGCAAUCUAGCGAAGAUCACAAAAAAGCGACCGUUUUUGCUACCUAGGAUCUAUCUUGCAAGAGAACGGAGAAUUAGAUGGAGAUCUCAACCAUAGAAUACGAGUUGGAUGGAAAGAGUGCAUCCGGCGUGUUGUGUGACCGUCGUAGGCCACUGAAGCUCAAGGGAAAAUUUUAUAGGACGGCAAUAAGGCCAGCGAUGUUGUAUGGCACAGAAUGUUGGGUGGUGAAGCAUCAACACGUACACAAAAUGGGUGUAGCGGAGAUGAGGAUGCUUCGUGGGAUGUGUGGGCACAUGAGAAAGGAUAAGAUUGGGAAUGAGGAUAUCCGAGGUAAAGUAGGAGUAGCCGAAAUUGUAGGAAAGAUGAGAGAAAAUCGGCUCCGGUGAUUUGGACAUGUGCAAAGAAGGCCGUCUGACGCUCCGGUUCGAAGAUGUGACUACGGGACAGAGGUUCAGGGCCGAAGGGGUAGAGGAAGACCUAGGAAAACUUUGGAAGAGACUCUAAGAAAAGACUUAGAGUACUUGGAUCUAACGGAGGACAUGACACAAAAUCGAGCGCAAUGGCGUUCUAGGAUUCAUAUAGCCGACCCCACUUAGUGGGAAAAGGCUUUGUUGUUGUUGUUGUUGUUGUUGUCCAGAUUGCUUUUUAUUUAUUUUUUUAUUUUUUAUUUUUUAUUUUUUAAGACGGGAGUAGGAUUAUCCUCAUCUAUUCUUAUCCCUUUCCCUCCUUUCCUUUCAUAUAUUAUUUUUUGUCAUAUUAUUUUUAUAAAAAAAUUAAUAUAAGAUAUUGACGUGAUUAUACCAUAACCGUUCAAAUAGAAGAGAAGAGAAAGAGAUUAAGAGGGAAGAGAAUCCUCCUCUUUCAAAAGGGCACCCACUGAGCACCCAUUGCAUUGUCUAAUCCCAUUAUUAAUGUCAAUGGCUUUUGAUAAAAUUAAUAUUUUUGCAAUUAAGUCCUCCAAGACAAACUUGCAAUCAAGUCCUACAAUUUCAAAGCGGACAAGGAUUGUCUGCCCUCCCUUUUUUCCAUGCCAUUCCAUGCCCUCCUGUUUAUGUGGUCACGGUUAAGUCACGUCAACAUUUUAUAUUACUAUUCAUUUUUAUCUUAUUAUCUUUAUAAAAAAAAUAAUAUAAAAUGUUAACAUGGCUUAACUGUGACCACACAAAACAGGAGGGCAUGGAAGGACAUGGAAAAUAGGAGGGCAGACAAUCCUUGUCCUUUCAAAGCAUACUUCCAUCCAUACCUGGGCAAAAUUAUAAAUUAAAAAUAAUAAAAACUUGAAAGAUAAUAUCACAUAAUCAUACUAAAUUUAAAAUAGUAUAAAAACAACUAAAACUAAUUAAAAUCUACCUUCAUAAGAACUUCAUAGUUCAUAUCUGAAUAAAUCACUUAAGAUCUGAUUGUUAAAUCAUCUUCUGCACUUCUUUCUUUCCAUCAAAAAAGUUAACAACGCAAAAAAACCACAAAUAAACAUCAUAAUUUACUUAAAAGAGCAGCGAAAAUUAAGUUUUUAGUCAGAAUGAAAAAAAAAAAGAAAAAUGAUUAUAGCGAAAACAGAAUAGUUAUGCCUAUCCGUGCAUCCUCCUCAAUGCCAAACCUUUUUGUACUCAACACUUUUCACUGUAGAACAACAAACUAUCGUAUGAAUUAACAAAUAAUUGCAUGCAGAGGAGACCCAAGCGAGAUUUGAAAACAUACAUUCAGAUCUUAGAAGAUAUGAACUCAAAGUGGGAAAAAACUCGGACCUGAUUUGAAAUUGAGGAAAAGGAAAGAGCUCUCACAAGUGGAGAGAGGAGCUCUCACAAACGGGAGAGAAAAACUCUCACCAACUCCUCUGCAAUCCAAAAUAAAACAAAGGGGAGAGAGAACUUUAUCUCUGAAGGAAAAACACAAGAGAAAGAGGAAAUCACGAAGAGAGAUGUGACAGUGAAAACAAAGAGAGAGAAGAAAGUAAAAGAAAGAGAGAGAGGGGGAAAAACAAAGGAGAAAAAGGAAAAUGAAGAGGGAGAGUUAGCUCAUUAGAUUUGGGCACAAUAUAAUAACAAUUAAAAAACUUAAUAAUUAUUAUUUUGACAUUAAAAGAAUCUAAUAAUUAUUAUUUGAGAACUUUAACGAAAAACUCAUGGUACUGUUCACUUUAACGAAAAACCACAUUUUUACACUAAAAAGUCAAUUUUGGUACUAUUCACUUUACUCUUUAUUUUGUCAUUUUCGUUAAAACUCAAAGUUUUCAAGCCAUUGUCAUUAGUUUUCCUUUAUUAUUUUGCAUGUAUAAAGCAAAAUAAUGAAUUUAUAGGUUAUAUAUUUGAAGAAUGACAUUAUCAUCGGUGUUGGAAAGCCUAAAGGACACCAAACAUACACAACGGUGCAAUCGACUCUUAAAAAGACACUGAUGGUGAAUGGUGUUCCCAAAACAGUGUCCUAUGUAUGGCCUGUUUUCUAGUAAUGUUUUUUGAAUAAAAUUUGUGAAUGGAUCACAAUGACAAUGUAAGAAUUCACUAUUGAUAAAAUACAAUACACUCUCUGUUUGUUCAAUAAAAUUCUGUGAAUGAUGACGAUGACAAUUGUGUACACAUAAAUCCAUUUCACCAAAGCUGAGACUUGGCAAGUAGAGAUUAUGAGCCCCGCUCUCAUCUUCCCCUCUUUCCUUCUUUCCCUCUUCUCAUUUGCAUCUUGUCUCUUUUCCCUUGCUCUUCUCUUCCCCUUGUAUUUUCUUCAUAUGUUUUAUCUGUUCCAUUUUCUUCUCUUUCUCAAAUCAAACAAAAUUGGUCAAACUAAGCUGAAUCUGAACCGAACUAGUUAUACCAUUUAAAUUUUAUCUUCCAUUUUUUAGGGUGAAGCAAAUCGAACCAAACCGUUAAUUAGUCAGUGUUUAAGCAUGUAUAUAGGGAAUCCAUUAUCGAACACAUCUGCUGACUUCAUGCUCUUUGUGAGCUCUAAAUUGUUUAGUUAGUAUAUAUGCAUUAAGAUAUAUUUUCGUAGUCACAUUAUUCAAACCACUGAAGUUGUAAUUCGUCUGAUUGGACUUCGUUUAAUGAAAUUUCUCUACCAUAUAUUGACAAAAAAAGAAAAAAGAAAUGCAUGUAUUAUGGCCGAGAGCUAAGUUAUACACACGACAGUGAAACAAAUAAUACUAUGUACCUAGUCCUCUCCAUUGCAGUAGAUCUUUUUUCAUGUACCCGGAACACGAGCUUGUACAUUACGUGUCAUAAGAGUGUUGAAUCCCACAUCGACCAAGUAAAAGAAAAGUAAAUAGUUUAAAUAUCUUAACCACACCCUAACUAACACCGAUGCCAUUUGUGAUAAAACCUCAUACCUGACGAAUUAGGCAGGUGGUAAUUACCAAGUUGGGCAUUGAGGUAUUUUGUGAUAAAACCCCACACCUGACGGAUUGUGCAAGUAGUAAUUACCAAGUUGGGGACAGUAUCAGUGUUGUUGUAAGUGGGUCUUUGGCCUGUCUCGUCUUUCUAAUAAUUCUACAUGGUAUCAGAGUCAGAGAGCGGACCCGUACUAUACUGCCACAUGAUGGAUGGGUCUCAUUGGCCCCACGCGAUGAUGGAUGGGUCCCAUUGUCCCCGCGUGUAAGGUGAGUCCCCUUAGCUUCACGUGGUUGUUGAUGUGUGGAUCUCCCACGUGUGACCCACUAAUUAGGUCCCACGUGAAGGGACAUGUUGAAUCCCAUAUCGACCAAGUAAAAGAAAAGUAAAUAGUUUAAACAUCCUAACCUCACUUUAACUAACACCGAGGCCUUUUGUGAUAAAACCUCAUAUCUGACGGAUUGUGCAUGUGGUAAUUGCCAAGUUGGGAACAAUAUCGGUAUUGUUGAAAGUGGACUCUGAGCUCGUCUCUCUGAUAAUUCUAAAUGAUAUCAAAGCUAGGAAUCGGGCCCCGUAUUGCCCAUGAUGAGUGGGUCCCCUUGGCCCCGCGUGCUAAGGGUGGGUCACUUGGCCCCGCGUGUAGGGUGAGUCCCCUUGGCUGCACGUGGUUGCCAAUGUGUAGACCUCUCACGUGCGACCCACUAAUUGAGUCCCACGUGAGGGGGCAUGUUAAGUCCCACAUCAGCUAUACAAAAAGAGAAAUUAUAGUUUAAAUAUCCUAACCAUACUCCAAUUAAUACCAAUGCCUUUUAUGAUAAAAUCUCACACCUGACGGUUUUGGCAGGUAGUAAUUACCAAGUUGGGGACAAUUAGUGUUAUUGGAAGUAGACAUUCGGGCAAUCUUUUUGAUAAUUAUACAUGGUAUCAAAGUUAGGGAGCGGGUCUGUACGUACUACCACGUGAUGGGUGGGUCCCUUUGGCCCCAUGGAUAAUGGUGGGUCCCUUGGCCCCGCGUGUAGGGUGAGUCCAUUUAGCUCCACAUAGUUGCCGAUGUGUGGAUCUCUCACGUGUGACCAAGGAAGAAAAUAUCAGUAAUAUCGGAAAUAUCGGUAGUCCGAAAACACGGAAAUAUCGAUGGAAAUAUCGGGAUAAUAUCGAUAUCGAUAAAAAUUACAUGGAAAUCACGGAAAUUGUAAGAAAAACUUGGAAAUUUUUAUUGAAACUUUGCAGGAUGUUUAUUUAGUCAAUUAUCUAUUAGUUUAUCACAAAAAAUUGGAAGGAAAUGCAUUGCAUGAUGGAUUUAACAUUAUCAAGUUGAUUAUAUAGCGAGCUGACAAACAUUGUGAGUGUAGAAAAUAUGUAGUAAUUAAUGAAAGAGGUCUAAACACACCAUAAUCAUUUAUAUAUAAUGAAUUAGUACAAUAUUUUACACUUUAUACAUUGCAUUUUUGGUUCUUCUCCGACAGAAUUUGGUCUUCACGUGGAAAAGAAGAUAAAGUAAGCAGAUUUUUUGGUUCUUCUCUGACAGAAUAUUUGGUUCUUCUGUGCAAAGUCACUUCCAAUUCUUUCAUACAAAACCGUGUGCCACACACACACACCCUCAAAGUUUUUUUCUUUUUCUCUCGGAUAACACACACACACACAUAACCAUACACACACACACACACACACACAUAACCAUACACACACAUAACCAUACACACACACACACACACACAUAACCAUACACACACACACACACACACACACACACACACACACAAAAAACCAUGGUUUUAUACAAAACCGUGUGCCACACACACACACACACACACCCUCAAUCCUUCCUUCUCUCUCGAAUCGUCUCGAUCCUUCCUUCUCUCUCUUCUCUCUCUGAGUCUUCUCCAUUCCUGUAAUUGUUCUCAGUCUUCUCCCUUCCCCCUUCUCCAGUUCUUCCACACACACACAGACAUCAUCUCUCGAAUCUCGAUCCAUCUCUCGAUCCUCCUCGUCCGCGUCUCCCUCUGCUCCUCCCAUCUCACCCGCCCUAAACCCAGCCGUCGACACCACUCCAUAACCGCCUUCUAAACCACCUUGUUCCAUGGAGAAGCCGUGUCGUUAGUCCCAAUCGUCGAGUCGUAACUGUCGCGUCAUCGCAAAUCAACGGUUGUGGAGAAACUGAGUGGAGGCAGCGGACACCGGACGAUGGACCGGAAUUCAUCGUAGUCGUCGGUGAGGAGCACGACGUUGUCCCAGCCGUCUUGGAUUCGUGAGGAAAACGACGUUCCCAGGCUCCUACUACCAUAUUCUUCUCGGCUUGUAAUUUAAUUUUUGUACAGAUUUCGAAUUUUCUGCAUGUUGCACCAUUUUUGUACUGAAUUCGAUUUUAGGGAUUUAGGAAUUAGGGAUUCAGUUCAUUUGCUUUGAAUUUGAAUUUGGGGAUUUAGGGAUUCAGUUCAUUUGCUUUGAAAUCGAAUUUGGGGAUUUAGGGAUUCGGUUAAUUUGCUCCGGCGUUCUUCUCCGAUUUGAACAGUACCAAAAUAUCGCGAUAGUUUAAAAAAUAUUGCGAUAUUAUCGAUAUUAUCGAUAAUAUCGCGAUAUUUUGACGAAAACAAUUUGGAUAGUUAAAAAAAUAUCGGACCCCCAAAAAAACGAUAAUAUCGGCGAAAUAUCGCUGAUAUUAUCGAUAUUUUCUUCACUGCGUGUGACCCACUAAUUGGGUCCCACAAUAGGGCAUGUUGAAAUCCCAUAUCGGCUAGAGAACUAAAGAAAGAAGAGUUUAAAUAUCAUAACCCCACUCCAACUAAUACCGAGGUUUUUUGUGAUAAAACCCACACCUGACGGAUUGUGUAGGUGGUAAUUACCAAGUUGGGGAUAGUAUCAGUGUUGUUGAAAGUGGGUAUUUGGCCCGUUUAUCUGAUAAUUCUACAAAGAGGACAUAUAUUUUUUAGUGUCCCUUGGUAAAGAUUGUCGUAGUAUUUAUAAUAAAGUUACUUGUAUUAUGACAUAUGAUGUAUAUAUUUAUAUUCCGUAUACACAAAAAUCUCUCUCAAGUUGGGGAUACUUGUGAAUAGCAUGUAUCACAUGACAAUGUCGGGUCACUAUUAGGAAUGCAGUACACCUCGCAUGUGCUAUUUUGUACAUAUGCGACCAAAUCUGGAAAAUGUCAGCGAAGCAAUUUACCAGGGACCAAUAAACAACGAUGCGAUGCAUUUGGGAACUCGAGGUGUGUGUGUUACGUUACGUACACGGAGGGCUAACUGUAUGACGGGUCCAACAAAUCUUACAAUGCGAUGCAUUUGCGAACUCGAGGUGUGUGUGUUACGUUACGUACACGGAGGGCUAACUGUAUGACGGGUCCAACAAAUCUUACAACAGCAUGAUAUCUCGGGUCCUAAUAAGUGAGAGAUUUUUUUAUAGGGAAUUUUAACGAAAAACUCUUAGUAUUGUUUAUUUUAACGAAAAAUUACAUUUUUACACUAAAAAGUCAAUCCUGAUACCAUUAACUUUACCCUUUAUUUUGUACUUAUCGUUAAAACUCAAAGUUUUCAAGUUUUUUUAUUAAUUUUCCUUUUUUUAUAUGCUUGAAAUAUGGGGCAAACACAACAUUUUUUUAUACAAUUGGAGGGAUACACUAAAAAAAAAAAUCCAAAUUGUUCACACCUUUUUUAUAUUUUUGGUUGUGAGGAAUGCCAUCAAGCCCAAUCAACAAAAUUAAUUAGUUUCGGUAUAGUAUCUGCUUUUGUUUAGGUUGUAAACACUUAUGAGACCAUUUCUAACCAUUGGGCUAAAACCUAACAUUUUUAACCCAGAAAAUUUAGGUUUUAGCCCAUAAACAGUUUUUCUGCCUCAAUCUUUCUGACCUAAAAUUUUAGCCCCAGAUUGUAAGAAUAUUUUAAUAUUCUAAAGUGGUCCAUAUGACACGGUCCAUAUGAUAUGUAGGGUUUAACGGAGAUUAUCAUUUGUAAAUAAUCCUAUUGGUCAAAUUAUGAGAAAUGUUUCCUAUCAAAUUACUGUGAUGGGUGGUAAUUGAUUAUGGACUUUAAAUGGAAACGAGUCCUCUCUCUGCCUCACUUAUAUAUAUAUAUAUAUAUAUAUAUAUAUAUAUAUUGCAUAUACCCAUCUAAUAUGCACUUGAUAGAAAAACACGAUUAGGGUUUUCACGUGCAAAUAGAGGCAAGAGAGAGAACACCUAUUUCCUCCGCCGUUGACAGAAUCCGUUUGGGAUCUCAUAGCGUUCGUUGUCAUGGAUCAAGGUACGCUUGGUUGUUUAAUGUAUUUCCGGAAAUUAUUUGUAUGUGAAAAUCAUGAAGUUCGAUGAUCUUGGCUUAAUUGUUUUAAGAUUUACAUGUGGUAUCAGAGCCUGGUUGAGAGCUCUCAUGAUUUUCCAAUUACGAUUAUGAACUUUAACUGAAUCGACUUGAUUAGGGUUUUGUUUCGAAAUAAAUUAUGAUCCGCUGUGCUAUUUUGAAAUAACCUAAUCGCUGUUUUGAAUUGUGAAUGUUCUUUAUAUAUUGUAAAUUGCACUCGGCAAGAAUAUUUUUAAUUAUGAUGUUGCUGCUUACUGUCAGCAUAAUUUUUUAAAUCUGCAAGAACGGAAUCGGUGGUUAAUUAGGGUGCAAUGUCUGCUGUUUUGAGACAGACAUGAUUGUAUUUUAUUUGCAUGUAUUGAUUAUGCAUGUUGGGAUUAAGAAAUUGUAAUCUUAGUUUUAUUACAAUUUUUGCCGAAUUGCAUAUUUGGGUAUGGAAAUUAUGAUGCAAUUUGGGCGAUUCUUUUAGUUGGAAUUAGUUAAAGUAAUUUGAAUACCUAUGACUGAUCAUUACGAUUAUAAACGUCAUUCAUUUAAUUUGUAAUUCGUCUUACGAAAUUAUUUGCAAGUCACCAAAGUGGCCAAACUAGAAAGAUUACAUGGAUUCAAAUUAAAUGAUGAUUAAUCAAUUACUCAUGGUAGGAUGAUGCAUAUGAACGAACAAAACCUUAUUAUGUUUUAAAGGUUUGUACAUGAGUAAUAUGUUUUUCAUUUGUCAUAAGUUCUUAAGGGUCACCCAAAGGUAGACUAAUUGCUCAUAUGAUUGAUGAUAUGAAUGUGUUGAGAAUUGUAUAUUUCAUUUUUAUUUGUUCGGAUAUCCAAAGAUAAUGAAACCUGUCUUAUUAGAGAUGUACAAUUAUCAAUAAGGUAUUAUGCAUCGAUUAUUGUUUGUAUUGUUGUAGUAUCUACCCAAAGGAGAAUAUGAUAAUACACUUAUUGUUAUUACACGUGUUUUUUUUUAUUACUCAAAGCAGUAAUGUUGUGAGCACUUUUGAAUUGCAGUGUCGGUGCCUGUUUCUCUUCAUUCACUUGCUCCAUCUAUUCCCUCACUUAAUGGAACAAAUUUCUCAGAUUGGAGUGAGCAAGUUCAGUUUCACCUUGGUGUCCUGGAUCUUGAUUUAGCACUCCGAACUGACAAACCUGCUGCUCUUACGAAUACAAGCAGCACUGAGGAAAAAUCUCUCUAUAAUGCCUGGGAGAGAUCGAAUAGAUUGAGCAUGAUGUUUAUGCGAAUGACUAUAAUGAGCAACAUAAAGACUGGCCUUCCUCAAGCUGAAACUGCUAAGGAAUACUUGAAAAAUAUUGAGACUCGUUUCAAGACUGCUGACAAGUCUCUUGCUGGGACAUUAAUGGCUGAGCUUACCACCAAGAAAUUUGAUAGUAUGCGAAGCAUGCAUGAGCAUGUCCUUGAAAUGACUAAUAUAGCAGCAAAGCUAAAGACUCUUGGAAUGAAUGUGGAUGACUCAUUUCUUGUUCAAUUUAUUUUGAACUCCUUGCCUCCUCAGUAUGGGCCAUUUCAAAUCAACUAUAAUGCUAUUAAGGACAAAUGGAAUGUUGAUGAAUUGGCCACAAAACUCGUUCAAGAGGAGGGAAGGCUUAAGCAGCAAGGAGAACAUUCCGUUCAUUUAGUAAGUCAAGGAGCUGAAAGAAAAUUUGGAAGAAAGCCUGGAAAGGGCAAGAAAAGAGGAUCACCCAAGGUGAAUGGACCUGCUAAUGCUACUCAGGCUCAUGAUAAGGAACAUAAAAGUGAUUUUAUGUCGCUUCUGUAGGAAGCCUGGGAAUUAUCAAAAGAAUUGCCAGAAAUUCAAGGAAUGGUUCGAAAAGAAAGGUGAGCCUUUGGCUUAUGUAAGUUUCGAAUCAUAUUUAACUGAAGUUCCUUAUAAUACUUGGUGGGUUGACUCUGGUGCUACAGCUCAUAUUUCUAAUUCGAUGCAGGGAUUCCUUACGACCCACACUUUAAAUCCAAAUGAAAAUUUCAUUUUCAUGGGGAAUCGAGUCAAAGCUCCAGUUGAAGCUGUUGGAACUUUUCGUUUAAUUUUGGAUACUGGAUAUUGUUUGGAUUUAUUUCAGACACUUUAUGUUCCUAGUUGUUCCAGAAAUUUGGUUUCAGUCUCGAAGCUUGACCGUAAUGGAUUUUUUAUAAAGUUUGGUAAUGAAUGUUUCAGUUUAUAUAAGAAUACCUCUUUUGUUGGUUCUGGUAUUCUAAUAGGUGAGCUGCAUAAUUUAAAACUCAAUAAUCGUUUUGCUGAAACACUUUUGACCUUGCAUCAUAAUGUUGGAACUAAGCGUAGCCUAAACAAUGAAAAUUCUUCAUUCUUGUGGCAUAAACGACUGGGUCAUAUAUCCAGAGAAAGGUUAGAAAGAUUAGUAAAGAAUGAGAUUCUUCCAAACCUAGAUUUUACUGAUCUCGGUGUGUGCGUGGAUUGUAUUAAGGGCAAACAAACCAAACACACCAAGAAAGGAGCUACAAGAAGUUCAGAGCUUCUUGAAAUAAUUCAUACAGACAUAUGUGGACCUUUUGAUGCUCCAUCUUUUAGCGGAGAAAAAUAUUUUAUCACCUUUAUAGACAAUUUUUCACGUUACGGCUAUAUUUAUCUGUUGAAAGAAAAGUCUGAAUCAGUGAAUUCCUUUCAGGUGUUCAUUAUUGAAGUUGAAAGACAAUUAGAUAAAAAGGUUAAGAUUGUCAGGUCGGAUAGAGGUGGUGAAUUUUAUGGAAAAUAUGAUGAAUCAGGACAAUGUCCUGGUCCUUUUGCAAAACUCCUUGAAAAGCAUGGCAUAUGUGCCUAAUACACUAUGCCAGGUACGCCACAGCAGAAUGGUGUUGCUGAAAUGCGUAAUCGUACUCUUAUGGACAUGGUUAGGAGUAUGUUAAGUAAUGCAUAUUUGCCUAUAUCAUUAUGGAUGUAUGCUCUUAGGACUGCUGUAUACUUAUUAAACCGGGUUCCUAGUAAGGCAGUUCCGAAAACACCAUUUGAAUUGUGGACAGGAAGGAAACCUAGUUUAAGGCACUUGCAUGUUUGGGGAUGCCCAGCAGAAAUAAGAAUUUAUAAUCCGCAUGAAAAUAAGUUGGAUUUUAGAACGAUUAGUGGUAACUUUAUUGGUUACCCAGAAAAAUCCAAAGGAUAUAGGUUUUACUGUCCUAAUCAUAGUACGAGAAUUGUUGAAACUGGCAAUGCCAGAUUCAUUGAAAGUGGUGAAAUUAGUGGGAGCGAAAAACCUAAAGAAUUGGUCAUUAAUGAAGUUAGGGUGCAGAUUCCUACACCUAUAAUUUCUAAGCAAGUUGUUGUUCCUAUACAUGUUGAACCGUUAGACAAUGUUGAACAACAAAUUAAUGACCAUCCGCUCCAGAAUGAGAUUAUCACAAAUGAAAAUGUAGUGGAAGAACCACAAGAAAUAACAUUAAGGAGAUCUUAAAGAGAACGGAAAAGUGCUAUUUCAGAUGGUUAUGUGGUAUAUUUACAAGAGUCUGAUGUUGAUAUAGGAAUAAAUAAAGAUCCGGUUUCGUUUUCACAGUCGUUAACUGUAUUGAUUCUAGUAAAUGGAUUGAUGCCAUGAAUGAUGAGUUAAAAUCAAUGGACAAAAAUGAAGUCUGGGAUCUCGUUGAAUUGCCUAAAGGUUGUAAGAGAGUUGGGUGUAAGUGGGGUUUUAAGACCAAACGCGACUCUAAUGGCAAUAUAGAAUGAUAUAAAGCCAGAUUGGUGGCCAAAGGUUUUACUUAGAAAGAAGGCGUUGAUUACAAAGAGACUUUCUCACCAGUUUCAAAGAAAGACUCUUUUAGAAUCAUUAUGGCAUUAGUAGCUCAUUAUGAUUUAGAGUUACAUCAAAUGGAUGUGAAAACGGCAUUCUUGAAUGGGAGUUUGGAAGAAGAAGUCUACAUGGAUCAACCUGAAGGCUUCGCAUUAAAGGGAAAGGAACACAUGGUCUGUAAACUAAAGAAGUCAAUAUACGAACUUAAACAAGCUUCACGACAAUGGUAUCUUAAGUUUGAUAAUAUCAUUGUAUCCUUCGGUUUUAAAGCAAACAUCGCUGAUCGAUGUACAUAUCUGAAGGUCAGUGGGAGCAAGUUUAUCUUUCUAAUUAUGUAUGUUGAUGACAUUUUGCUUGCUAGUAGUGAUCUUGGUCUAUUACAUGAGACCAAACAGUUUCUCUCGGAGAAUUUUAAAUGAAAGAUAUGGGUGAGGUGGCCUAUGUGAUAGGAAUUGAAAUAUUCCGAGAUAGAUCACAUGGAGUGUUAGGCUUGUCUUAAAAAGCAUAUAUUGAGAGAGUUCUAGAGAGAUUCGGUAUGGAAAAAUGUUCAUCCAGUGUUGCUUCAAUUCAGAAAGGGGAUAAGUUUAGCCUUAUGUAAUGCCCACAAAAUGAAUUGGAGCGUGCACAAAUGGAAAGUAUUCCUUAUGCAUCUAUUGUAGGAAGUCUGAUGUAUGCACAAACUUGUACCAGACCAGACAUCAGUUUUGCAGUUGGGAUGUUAGGCAGAUACCAAAGUAACCCAGGAAUGGAUCACUGGAAAGCUGCAAAGAAAGUGAUGCGGUAUUUGCAAGGAACGAAAGACUAUAUGCUCACGUAUAGAAAAUCUAAUAACCUAGAAGUUAUUGGUUAUUCAGAUUCAGAUUUUGCUAGAUGCAUUGAUAGCAGAAGAUCAACUCUUGGUUACUUGUUUCUCUUAGCUGGAGGAGCAAUUUCCUGGAAGAGUACAAAGCAAGAUGCUAUUGCUAUAUCCACCAUGGAAGCUGAAUUUAUAGCAUGCUUUGAGGCUACAAAUCAUGGAUUAUGGUUACAGAAUUUUAUCUCAAGGCUUGGCGUUAUUGAUUUCAUUGCUAAGCCGUUGAGAAUUUUCUGUGACAAUGCUGCCGCUGUCUUCUUCUCCAAGAAUGACAAGUAUUCUAAUGGUGCUAAACACAUGGAUAUAAAAUACUUGACUCUUAAGGAGGAGGUUCAGAAACAAAUAGUGUCUAUUGAGCACAUAAGCACAAUGCUUAUGAUCGCAGAUCCCUUGACAAAGAGACUGGGGCCGAAGGCAUUUAAUGAUCAUGUUGAAAGAAUGGGUCUUGGUUGUAGUCCAUGAUGAUUGUCAUUUUUUUUUUAAUUUUGUGAAGGGAAAAUUAUGAGUUUUCACAUAUAGGGAUUUCAAAAAGACUAUCAUGCAUAUACAAAUCAAAUUUAAUAUACGAAAGCAGCGGAAGCAUUUAUAACAAAUUAUCAAAGCUAUAGUCAUGCAAAUCCCCUUCAAUGUUCAUAGGUUUAUAUAUAAUGCAUCAGAGCAAUUUUAGAGAAGAACAAAGUGAAGGUUUAGUCUAAUACCUCUUGAUCUAGACUUGAGACCAUGGAUGGACCACCUCCAAGCCCUUUGUUCCUUGAACUCCUUGAGCCUAGCUUUCCUCCUUGCCUCCUCCACUUUGUUAGAAUGAGUGCUCCUAGGUUCUCUUCAAGUUUCCAAAGUAGGAAACCUCUAAAGAUCCUCACCCACUAGUGUAGUGAGAAGGAUGAAGGAAUAACCAAAAGGGUGAAAGAUGUGUUAGUAAAAACACCCCUAAGGUGGCCGCCCUUUGUAGUGUUAGAGAGCUAUUUUUCUUUUGCCUCUUUGUUGUUUUAACACUUCAAAAACCCUAAUGAACAAUAUCUCUAUAAAGUUCCUUAUAUAGACAAAAGGAAACCUAGUCAACCACUUGACUAAAUAUCUCUCCAUUUCCACUUAAAGUGGCCGGCCUCUUGUGUUGGAUUUGGGCUUUUGGGCUUUUAUAUAUUUCAAGUCAUCCAAUGCUUGAAUAAAAGUCCAAUGGGCCCAAUUAAACCCGAACGUUUCUUUAAGCCCAAAACGAUCUUUAUCGCUUUUAUGAUUUCUUUAGACUUUCUAAAUUAAUCACAACACUUAAUUAAUCCAAUUAAUUAUUUCCAUCAUCCAUUAGUUACUCACUACAAUAGUGUAUUGGUGAACAAUCUUGUAGGUUCUAAUUAGCAAGGCAGUGAGGUGAUUGGCACCAAUCCAAUUGAUUAUAUUUAAUCCAAUCACUUAGUGAAUUAAAACAUACUUUUAAUUCACCUUCUUCUUUGACGACUACAUUUAAUCAUUUAGAAGAACUCACAAGCCAUGAGUGACAUCUAACCAUAUAUCAUGGCUACCCAAGCUAAUGUAGAAGUUUGUUCGGAGAACCUAUUCAGUUGGAAUUACAAUGUAAUUCGAUCCUUCUCUAAAACAAUACUCUCAAUCACAUUACUUGGGUAUGGAAAUAUUAUGUCAAACCCCUAAUGUGAUUAUUCCUUCUUAUAUGAUUCUUUUGAGUCGUAUAGGAACGCUUUCCUUUAUUACGCUCGAUACUUCGGCCAAAGAUUCCCGAAUCAUAUCUUAGAGUAUUCUUCCUCUCUUAUCGAGGAUUAGAGAUUCCUUGUUGCGCAUACACUUGCCUUCAUGACUAAGUGGCUUAACCCCAAUUAUGCCGUGGACACCCGUGAAUGGGGAGACUUUGACAUAAUCAAAGAUUAAGUACUUAACCACAAGACAACGACGAUGCCUCAAGUCAAAGGACUACUUACAUUAUUCCAACCAUUAGAGUUACUUGCUUGACAUGUGAGUAGACCUCCAUGCAAGUACUCUCGUUCGAUUGUGUUCAGUGAACUCAUUCCCUUAAUGAGCACCUACAUACUUGUCUUAGUGUCACAACACGAAUGGGAUGAGACUUUCCAUCCUUCCAUUUGAAGCAGACACAAUAUGUACCGGUCUAAGCAUUGUCAGUAUCCCUCCGACAAUCCAAUGACCAGGAACAUUUUUGGACAUUUGGUUAUAUGAAGAAGGUCUCUGUAGUCUAACAUCAUUAGAUUACUUCUUCAAUUGAUCCAUUGUCCAUGGAUACACUAUUUAGGACAUAUAUCGUUUAUUGAGAUAGUCCUAAUUAGUAUCUUUGCCAUUUGAUGUAUAAGAUUCAUCUAUACAUCGAUUUAUUUGUCCUGAAAGGUUUCUUCCAAAGAUUGACUUUCAAGGCAUAUUUCCAACAUUUUGUUUAUGAGAAUUUGUUUAAUGACAGUAUUGUGCUUGACACUCUGAGCUCGAUAAUUGAACAUGUUUCUGGUAUUUCCUGUUUUCCAUUAUAUGUAUACAUUUAUGAGAUCGGAUGAAUGAUAACAGGAAUGUCUCUGACAAAGACAUUAUCGGACCUAUAUAUGUAUUUCUCACUAACAGACUGUUUUAGGUAAUUGCUAGUGUUGUGGUGCAUGGAAGGGACUACGUCGCUCGUUGAUGUACAACCGCCAUGACUCACACUAGUGAAUUGCUUAAGAUCAAUAAUUAUGUUAACCAAUUGAUAGUAAGGAUUAUUUUGAACUUUACUGCGCGCUUAAUGUUUAUUUUUUAAACCUGAAAAGGAACAUGUGUCACUAUGGACCAAGUGGGAGAAUGUAAGAAUAUUUUAAUAUUCUAAAGUAGUCCAUAUGACACGGUCCAUAUGAUAUGUAGGGUUUAAUGGAUAUUAUCAUUUGUAAAUAAUCAUAUUGGUCAAAUUAUGAGAAAUGUUUCCUAUCAAAUUAUUGUGAUGGGUGGUAAUUGAUUAUGGGCUUUAAAUGGAAACGGGUCCUCUCUUUGCUUCACUUAUAUACAUUGCAUAUACCCAUCUAAUAUGCACUUGAUAGAAAAACACAAUUAGGGUUUUCACGUGCAAAUAGAGGCAAGAGAGAGAACACAUAUUUCCUCCGCCGUUGACAGAAUCCGUUUGGGAUCUCAUAGCGUUCAUUGUCAUGGAUCAAGGUACGCUUGGUUGUUUAAUGUAUUUCCGGAAAUUAUUUGUAUGUGAAAAUCAUGAAGUUCGAUAAUCUUGGCUUAAUUGUUUUAAGAUUUACACAGAUUAUUAAAGAAUAAAUUUAGGCUAAUUUUUUUUUCUUAAAGUAACUUUUUUUAAAGAAAAAAAAUUAUGUAGACUAUCAUGAUUUAAUUUUAUGAACGUUUUAACCUAAAAAUAUUUAUAUUCUGACAAAUAUUGAAAAAUCACAAACCGACACCAUGAAACUAGUUCAUCACUAUGAAAAAAACAUGAAAUACAUAAAAGAUUUUUUUUUAAUUACUUUAGCCGUUAUAUUUAAAUUUGGACCGUUAAAAUUUUUUUUUACCGUUGAAUUUCAUCAAAUUAGAUCUUAACAGUUAGAUUCAAUGAAUUUAUAAAUAUAAAACUAAAUAAAAUACACAUAUAUAGUGGGUCAGCCCUACUAAUCCUGGGCUAAAUCAGACUUUUUUUUUAGGUUUUAGCUUUUAGCCCACACAUUUAGCAUGGGUUGGGUUGGGUUGGGUUUGAAAGAAAUAAAACUUAAAAAAUAGCAUUUAGCCCAGGAUUAGGUUUAAUCUAAGUGCUGGAUUAAUGUCCCAGCGUCCUAUCCGGAUUGACCCAUUUCAAUAUAUUAAAAACGUGAGAAAGUGGUUGACAAGUGUACAAAUAAUAUAUGCGUUUGGUAUGUGAAUUUUGUGUGGUUUAUGUGUAUCAGCGUAUUUGGUUGAAUACGAUUUAUGUAAUACUAAUAAUAUUGUGAGUUUUUAAUUGACCUAAACCAGAACUUCUUAUUAAUACUAUAACUUUAGUCCAUAAAAUAUCAACCACAUCCUUCACUAAAAAAAUCUGACAACGUGAAAAACAUAUUUGAAUGUGUUUAUUCAUAAAUCUUAUCACGGUCUAUCACAAAUAGGGUCGAUAUUAUUUCAAUUUAACCAUUUAUUAUUAGAUGUUGGAUUUUAUCACAAAAGUCUUCAAUGAUAUUUGCUGUAAAAAUUCUCUUAUUAAUACAUUAUUUUGUCAUACCUCCGAUGCGCAACUCAAUUCUCUAACAUUUAUCGGUUUAAGUAAAUCUCCAAACAACUUUCACAACUAGAUGGAAUGCAUAACAAUAAAAUAGAGGCCAUUUUCUAAGGGAUUAGGACUCUCUCCCCUUUCCCCUCCUAUUUGAACAACCACAAUUAAGUUAGGUCAACAUCUUGUGUUGCUUUCUUUAUAAAGAGAGAAAUACAAUGAAAAUGUAAGAGAAGAGGAGGAAAAUGGAUGAAAAUUGGAGGGGGAGAGAUUCCAAGAUAGUUAGCUCAUCUGUUUUCACUCACAAAACUUAAAGGUGAUGUUUUCUUGCCUAGUUGUAUCUCUUUGUUUGUAGGCUUUUGUUUUCUGUGAUCCAGAUAAAUUAAUUUCUCUUUUGACACAGUCACACUAGGGGAUUUCCAUUUACAAUAUUGAUCAUGUUGUUGACACACUCUCAAAUAGAUGUGAAAUGUGAGACAUCCUGUCUAAACUAUAGCUUGACACCAAUUUUGAGUGUUUAAAUGACGUUUCUUUUUCUUCUUUUGUGUAAUUAUAAAUUCCAAUAUCUGAUUUUUGUCUAAUUUACCGUAAAUAUUUGGUAGAUCUCUUGUCUCUUUUCCCUUGCUCUUCUCUUCCCCUUUUCUUUUUCUUUUUUUCAUAUGUUUUAUCUGUUCCCUUCUUAUCUCUUCACCAAAUAGGACAAAAUUGAUCAAAGUAAGCUGAAUUUGAACCGAACUAGUUAACUUUUUAUUUUAAUUUUCAAUUUUUUGGGAUGGAAGUAAAUCAAACCAAAGCGUUCUCACCCAUACUUAGUCAGUGCUAAGCAUGUUUAUCAGGAAUUGAACACAUCUGCUGACUUCAUGCUCCUUGUGAGCUCUAAGUUGUUUAUUUAGUAUUUUACAACUGAUAAAUUUUCGUAGUCACAUUUUUCAAACCAUCGAAAGUUUGUGUUAGUAUGCUUGGAAAUUUAAUAAUAAUAUUAUUAUAUUAAAUUUAUUAAUUGAAUGGAAAUUAGAAGUGGAGACCUUUGGUAGAAAAAUGUGUCUAUUCAAAUGAAGAAUUGCAACUUUUGACUCUUCAUGAAUAGUCAUGUUUUCCAAAGAAGUAUCUCAAAAUCUAUAAAUAGGAAAGUCUCUAUAAACAUAAAUAAUUUUCAUUGUUUACAUAAUCAUAUAUAGAGUGCACUAAAUAUUAAAGAGACUCAUUUAGUCCAUAUGACAUGCCCCGAUCCCGAUAUCCCCAAAUACCAGGAUAUGCACGUGCUGACCGAUACCCCGAUGGUGAUGAAGCCAUUUUUAACAUGCAUGCAAGUUAUAAAGAAGAAACAAACAUAAGUAAAUAAGUGAAUUUAAAUAUAUGAAAAUGUGUGGAUGCGGGAACGUGUUCAGAGCAUAUAUCUAAUCAAGAAUAGUGAGAAAGGAAUUUAAGAAAUAAAUGUGAUUACAAAGAAAGUGGGUCCUACCUCGAGGGGACUCGAAGAUACCAAUGCGGGAGUGCCUUGACGUCGUGAUCGUACGCCUCAAUCCUAAGUCCUGAAAAGGGCUCAAAACAAAACAUGAGUGGACUAAAGUUGUUAAUAAUAAUAAUAAUAAAUUUAUUUCUUUUUGAACAUACUAACCCCCUGUUCUGAAAACACCAUAUAAAUACUACAUAGUAGGGUUUUCUGAAACUCUAAUAUGCCAUAAAACCAUCGUAGACCAUGUAUGUAUAAAACAAUGUUGAAUAAUGGUUAUAUAGUCACCCGAAGGCAAAUCUGUAAAAGCUCGUAAAUCAUAUAACUAUGUACUCAAUUAGGGGUAUCAUAGUCUGUAAUACCUUGAAAAAUUUAAGUAUAUGAAUUUGAUAUUCAUAAUUAUGAAUAUGUGGGGAAAAAUAGAAAUUAAAUCUAUUUAUGGUUAUGGAAAUUUAAUUGGGAGAUUUUAAAAUUUUGUUACCAGAAAUUAUUAUAAUUUAUGUUGUAAAAAUUUAUCGAUAAGGGAAAAAGAUGAAAAUGCACUAGUUGGUUUAACGUAAUUAUACGAGGACGUAUUUUAUCCUCGUAUAUAUUUUAUUGUAUUUCUUGAUAUAUUUGGAUAGAGCUCGACCCUACGAAAACGUAAGCAAAAAUCGUUUGUGAAUUGAAGUUGAAACGAAGAUAUUAGAGGUUUUUUUUUUUUUUUUUUUUUAAAAAAAAAAAAAAAAAGGAGUCUGGAAGUUGCUAGAGGGCAAAUGAGGGGGAAAACCCGGUUCCCCUUGACUUGCCCGACUCGACUGAGUACCACAACCAAAUUUGAUCCUUUAUCUGGGCAAUUUCUGGUGAAUUGCGUUGAUUCACUACCUGAAAAUUUAUCCUCGGCCUCUCAUCUCCCCGUUACACCAUAAAUCCUAGUUAAUUAGAUCUUGAUUUGGAAAAAAAUAGCACCAUGGGUGUGUCGAGUGCUCGGCUCGGAAUCACCAAAAUCUGAAGCUAACUCUCUCCACCACCACCACCAAUCAACUCCGCACAACCUCAGGAACAAAGCCCAAGUAAUGGUGGAGGCAUUGGAGCGAAUAUGGAGGUGGAAUCGAAGCACACCCAAUUCUAGGGUUCAGGCGGUUCAUGGGCGAUUUCUCGGCCCAGGUAUAAAAAUUACUCCCCUAAUUGAGAUCUACAUGCCUGUAAAAUUUGGUAAUUUUUGGAAAUAGUUGAAUUUUCCGACGAGUCAGGACGGCCGGCCUCCGUGUGCGGCAACGCGUGGGCCAAGACCCUACCUGCUCUUCCUAGAUUAAUUUGGAUACCCUGAUUCCAUAUGUGGCGUUCGAUUUAUGAAAUCUCGUCGUAUGACUAUGAUUUUGAUAAAAACCGCCACUUAAAUUUGCAAUUAGCGGAGAUCCAACCGUUGGAACGUAAUGAAAUUUUAGUAUGUUGUUCUAGAUGUAUAAUGUGGAUGUUGAUAAGUUACGGAUUAUAAAUCUGAUAGGCAGAUCAUCCGGUUUAAAUUUCUAGGGUUGUGAACCCUAUACUUGAUCUUGAUCGACGGGUGACUUUUUAUAGUCAACUAAACCGAGUUUCUAGCGUGCUAUUUAUCUUAGAGUGUUGUUGACAUUUCAUGAAGUUUAGUGGGCUCAUUGCGACGACGGGUGGCUUGAUUUACCUACAAGUGACUAUAAUAUAGGUGAUUUAUAUUGAAUUGUUAUUUUAUUUUAUUGCCAUUGAUCUACAUUUGUGAAUUGUGAAAUACGAUUGACUUGAUCUCUCUAAAGGGUACGUAGGCAGUCUAACGAGAAGUUAGAUGCAUCCAUAAAAUAAAUGAGAUCGAAUUUUAGUGGAAAAUCAUCAAAUUGCGAAGUGUUAGAAUGGUUAUUAACAUAAAGGGUAACUAUGACAUUUUUGGCUUACCACUAAAUGUAAAUUCUGAAAUAUAUUGGCGGGGCAUUACAUAGUCUCCGAAGGCCCAACCAUCACCCCGAGGGUGAAGCUGUACAACACGAGGUUACACCGCUGAAGAAACAUGAUAGGUCCCAUUACCCGAAGGUGAAACUGUACGACUCUGGGUUACGCCAUAGAAGAAAUAUACAUAACACGGACACUAGCUGUGGCUAGUGAAGCUGUCCGACACUAGUUUCGCCAAUGAAGCUAGGCGUAUGUCAUAAAUAUCUCACUACUCAUCAAACUGUGUCCUAUGGUCAUAAACAGAUACAUACUCGUGUUGUGUUUAUGAGUUGUAUGAUUACCCACUAAUAAGUACAAAAAACAUAAAUAAAACUUUUCAUAUCAAAUCCUCGGAGCUCAAAAGCUCAAACAUCAUAUCAUAAAUCCAUAGGAGCGUUCUAGCUGAAAUCAUCAUCAUAAACCAUAAUAAAUCAAUCAUGUGAAAUCAUAAAUUCAUAUAAAUCCGUAAUAUUUCAUAAGGCGUAAAUCCAAUAAUUCGUAACGUUUCGUAAAACGUAAAUUCGAUAAAUUAUAAAUAUAUUUCAUGAAACAUAAAAUCAGGAAAUCAUGCUUUUCAUGAAUGCAAUACGAGCAUUUAAUAAAAAUUAUGCAUUUUGAGAAGAGGGUCACUCACAGAUACUUGUGAGGUCGCAGCCGUUUGAACUAGGAAAGUCGGAGUCUCCAAUAGUAAUCGCACCUAAGCAUAAUAUUGGGACCCAUUCGUAAAACUCAACUAAAACUUUUAAAUUUGGGAAAACAGAGUGCAAAUUUGGAUCAGGGCGUUGAAAUAUCCUAAGAGGAGUCCCGGGCAAAUUUCGUAAAAAGUCAACGGGAAAGUCAAUGGUCAACUACAUUAAAACUUUAGAAUUUCACUAAAUAGAUGUCAAAAACAGCUUGGGGCAUCGAAAUAAGCUUAGGAGAGUUUCCGAAAAAGUUUAGUAAAAGUGGACGCAAAGAAUAUUUCAAAGAAUAUUCUAAGAAUAUUCCAAAGAAUAUUUCAAGAAUAUUUCAAAUGAUUUAUUAUUAUUAUUUUAAACUUUGGUCAUGUCACGUUUUGUUUUGCAUCCCCUUCAGGUAGAAUCGAGGCAUACGAUCCCAAUGUCAAGGUACUCCCACAUCGGUAUCUUCAAGUCCUCGGUGUAGGAUUCACUUUCUUUGUAAUCACAUUUAUUUCAUAAUAUUCCUUUUGCACUAUUCUUGAUUAGAUGUAUGUUUUGAACACAUUCCCGGAUCCACACAUUUUCAUUAUAUUUAAAUUUAGGGACACUUUGGAUGCAGUCCCUAACUACCAAUAUUCUUUGAUCGAAGUCCCUGAUAUUAAUGUAAUAAUAUAUUUCUAUGUAGGUUACUAUAUUCUUAAAUUAAAGUUAUUUAUAUUAAUGAGAUUUUAAAUAAAACCCAUAAUUUAUAGGGAGUUUUAACGAAAAGACCACGGUUCUGUUCACUUUAACGAAAAAUCACAUUUUUACACUAAAAAGUCAAUCAUUGUACUAUUCACUUUACUCUUUAUUUUGUCCUUGUCGUUAAAACUCAAAGUUUUCGAACCCUUUUUAUUAAUUUUCCUUAAUUUAUGGAAGUAAAAAUAUUAAAGAUGAAUUAUACUCUCCAAUAUAUUGCGCAUGUGUGUAUAUACACACACAGGGGCACGUUCUUCAAAGCUAACUAAACAAUUAUUGUACCAAAAUAUGGGUACAUUUUUCAAAACACAAAAAAAAAAGGCUUAAUAACAUUAUCAAAUUUCUUUUAUUAAGCUUGACAUGGAUACAUUCUCAAAUCAACGAAAUAGAAUGUGCUCAUAUAGUUAAAAAAAAGGUACAUUUUUCAUAUGACAAAUUAGUAUAGUUAAGAAUUGAAUUUUUUUUUUAUAAAAAGUUAAUGGUUACAAACUUAUUCUAAUUUUAUUUUUUUAUAUUUUGGAAAUGUUUGAAUUGAAAAUUAAUUAGGAGUUUAAUAAGGGUGUGAGUAUUAAAACUCUAAAUCAAUUACUAAUUUUUAUUAUAAAAAUUAUGUAACUUACAUAAAAUUCAUUAAUAUAUUAAUACUAGGGACUUUGAUCAAAAUCUAAAAACUAAUAAGGUCUUAGUUAAUAAACAUUAGAAACCAGGGACCAUAUACUAAUUUUUUUACUUAUUUUAUUUAUGUUCAUUUCUUCUUUAUAACUUGCAUGCAUGUUAAACAUAGCUUCGUCAUCCUUGGGUGCUGGCCAGCACGUGCCUAUCCUAGUAUUUGGGGAUAUCGAGAUCAGGGCGUGUCGCCAUAUGAGAGGGUUUCAACAGAAUUGUGGUUCAUGGAGCCUUGUGAUUUGACUACUAGAAUUAUGGCUAUAGGAUACCGAUGUUUACACACCAUUUGCAAUUGGUGUCCAUAGACAUAAAGCAAGCACUCUUAGUUUUUUUUGGUGUCUUUAUAGUUGGAUGCCACUGAUAUCGGUGGCCUUCAAAAUUUAGACACCAACCAUUGGUGUCUGUUAAAUAACUUUUAUUCUUAAAAAUACUUUUUUUGUGCAUUUGUGAUUAACUGGGCACCAAUACAAUUUAUUGAACACCAAUACAACAAAUAAAAAUUGAGAGCUAUUCUCUCCCCUGUGAGAGUCUUUCUCACUGUUGUGUGAGUGGUCUUUUGCUCUCUUUGAUUUGCGUCGGCGCCGGCCUUAGCUUUGGUUAGGGUCGGUGCCAGUCCUUUGUUUUUCAUGUGUGCUUUGUUUCUGUGGUUUGUUGGGUUUUAGCUUUUUUUGUUGCCUGUAUGUUUUCCUCCCCUUCUCUGCCACUUUCACGAUAUGCUUCUAUCCUUUCUCCUUUUACUUUUGAUCUCACCUUUUUGAGACCAAACCUCAAAUCCCCCGUUUCCUACAUCCUCUUUGACCAUUUCCCCCUCUUUGACCCACCCCCUCCAUCUACUGCAUCAUCUUGGCCUACCAUCUAUCCCCCAUCUUUCACCCUUACCUCUGUCCUCAAUUCCGGUUGGUUACCGUCUCAGUUUACCGCGAUCUAUCGCGGAUCUUUGGGAGGAUGUGUAGAGCUUUAGAUCGGGUGUUCGCAGCACCACCACCCUUGUUGAUUGUUGUUGGUCUUUCCCGUAGUUCACCCUUGCCGACGUUAUUGCUCGUGGGUUCUCCCUGCGUGCUUCCUUGUUCUCCUGACGACGGUUCUUGCUGGUACUUUGAGAAAGUUGUGGCUUUUGUCUUAAUCAUUUCUAUGGUUUUUGGUGGUGUGAUCUUAAGUGAUCGUGAUUGGAGGCUAACCAUGACGUUUGUUGGGAGGCUCUCCGGUGUUGGUUUCGGCGUCUCCAGCUUUUAGAAGACUAGUUUUUUAGGUUUUUCUAUGUUGUUUGUUUGUGUGUGUUGUACUCUAAGGUUGGGCUUGGGGCUUUGCCUUUUGUUUGUGUGUGGCCCCUUUUUGUUUGUGUAUAACUUGUUUUGGGCCUUUGUUGUACUUGUGUUUGUUGAUAAUAAAUUUUACCCUUUGUCCAAAAAAUAAAAAAAAACCAAAUAAAACAAAUAAAAAAACCAUUAAACCUCUCUCCCCUUCACAAAAGUCCAACUCCUCCCCUUCAUUCCCUCUGAUUGCUUCCCCAUUCAUUCUAAGCUCCUCCCUCCCGUAUCCUCUCUCUCCCUCUUCUCUUUCAUGCAGCAGCGGCUCCGUCCUCCGGUCACCAACCAACGUCAAACUAUACCUCCAGAAUUCUCUUCCCUUCCUCUUUCCAACCCUCAAGUUAGUUUCUCCAAAUUUGUAGCUGAAUUUUCUUAAUUUCAGAUCUAAAAAACGGUGACCGUGGGUAUUCCGGCCAAUUUCCGGCGAAGUCUGCCUGAAUUGGACCUCAACCAAGAGGUAAAAAUGAUCCUCUCCUCAUGGCUGUUCCCUAGUGUAAGUGAUUUCUCAAAAUAAAAACUUUCAAUUUUUGGAUCGAUUCUAGAUUUCAAAUUUUAAUUCCAUUUUCUAUAUGCAUGUCGAAGAUUGGGGACGAGGAAGGUGAAUCAAGGUUGUUUCCAACCUGGGCCGAGAAGAAUGGAAGCCUUGGAACAUUGUGGGCGAAACUAAGGUGAAGAGGGUUCUUCUAAAAAAAUUAAGGUGAACAAGGUGAUUUUCUCCUUAACCACAACUAUUACAUUUUAUCUCUUGCUUGGAAUUUUUUUUAAAAUUCCCAGGAUCUGCUUUGGCAAUACUUUUGAUGGUAAAAAAGAAGCAGCUGCUUUUAUAAAGCUUUUGUAGUCUCAAGCACGGUAAAUAUAAUAGCACUAGAAAGUGAGGAAAUCCACUUUCUUUGGUCAGGUUGGAUUCUCUACUAUGACUACCAUUUUUAUCUCUAAACAAAUUUUUAAUGGUAUGUAUGAUAUAAAAAGGUAAAUUUAACUAUUUUGGUUUCUUUGUUCUCACGCUUUGGUGCCUCGAGUUUUAAUUUUUCAUAGUUGUGUCUGAGUUUUUUUCCAGUUACAAUUCGGGAGUCAUUGGCAACUUCUACGGGACCAAAAUUGUUUUUAGGUCAAAAUACAGGAACCAAAUCAUAACUAGACUAGGAGAUUACAUUACAUUACCAAAGUAGGAAAGUUCAGUCUUGAUUCAGAGUUUGGCAACAUAAUAUGUAUGUAGGAUGUUGUUUUAGAACCGCUUGGUAAGUGUUAAAUACAUCUUAUAACAUGACUAACUAACAAGCAUGGUCGUUCAGAUAUACAUGCAAUUGAGAUCACUGAUUAAAUCAGAUUUCUUUUAUAUUGAAGCAAAUCUUGCCUAUUAGGUGUUUGUAAAAAUUCCCCAAAGAGUUAGAAGUAGGAUAUGAUGCAAAUCUGAAUGUAGGCUGUUUUGGUAUGUGUGUGUACGUAUAGGGUGUUAGAAUAAAAGUUAGUAUUGUUUUACACUGCCAGGUGUCACAAUUGUAUUGGAGAUUCUAGAAGUUAGUUAUGUGUGAUUGUAUUUAUAAGGAUGUAUGAUGUAAUAAUUGAGAUAUAAUGAAAUAAUAGUUUCUCUCUCUACACUCUCUCUCUCUCUCUUCAAAGCUCUCUAGUUCUUCUCUGCCUUUCACCAUAGCUUUCUCUUAGUGUUAUCAUGGUAUCUUAGCCAGCCAUGGUUUACACCAUUGCUUAACGAUUCCUAUGCUUCCGCUCAUCUUCAUCAUUCCGGUGACCGAUAUUGGUGGCUGUUUGCUGGUUAUUAGUGAUUCCGGUCAAGUGUCGAUUACUCAAAAAAAAAAAAAACCCUAAGUCGGUGGAAUUUCUUUUUGUCGAUUGUUUGAUUCUGUCAUCGGAGAUUGUUGCUCUGUUCGUCGAUCUUUGCAAUUGCUACUGCUUCGCAAUUUGUUUAGCCGUGGUGGUACAAUUGAGGUGUUUUCUCUCAAUUCUUGCUACUUAGUAUUGUUUAUUGAUAGUUCUGUGUCAAUCAAAUUGUUGAUUUUUGGGCAAUUCUUGCUGCGUGAUUCGUUGUGCUUCUGUUUAUUUCUUGAGUAAAGGAGUUGUGUUCUUGAAAGUUAAUUUCAUUGUUGAAUUGUUGAUCUCUGUUGGUGCAUUAUGGUUACCACUUCACAAUUAGCCCUUACACAAUCUCCAAUUUCUUCACUUAUACCUAGUGUUGGAAACACAGUUACUGUGAAAUUGGAUUAUUCAAAUUAUGUUACUUGGAAUUUUCAGAUAUCAUUGUUACUAGAAGGGAAUGAAAUUAUGGGGUUUAUUGAUGGAUCCAUUCCAUGUCCUUAGAAAUAAACUGAAUUGGAAUCUGAUGAUGAGUCGGUUGUUAAUACUUCUCCACUGACUGAUGCUUAUAAAGUUUGGAAAAUCCAUGAUAAAGCUCUUAUGACCUUGAUCACUGCAACACUCUCUACUGCUGCAUUAUCUUGUGUUAUUGAAUGUCAAAGUGAAGGAUUAUUUUGUGAAAACAUGUUCAUUUAAGCAACAUCUAUAAGCAUGCAAUUAACAAUUAAAGGCGGAAUCAUGCUUGCAUGCACUUAAAAACAAAACAUUAACCAAGAAAUUCAAAGCCUAGUAGAUUGGUUAACCAAAACUCAACUCAAAACAAAGUGAGUUGAAAUUGUACCUUUGUAGAUUCCUCUUUGCAUAAGCAAAGGCUAAUCACCCAAAGAGAGGGCCUUCAUUCCUUGCAUCUAAAAUCUAUGGAUUUGGAUGGAUGAAAAGGUUUCUCCAAGUUCCCAAAAUUGAGAACCUCUAAGUCUCCACACCAAGGAGAGAUUGGAGAAGAAAAUGAGUGACAUUGGAGUAGUAGUAUGGCUAGAUACACCCUCCAAGGGGCCGGCCUCUUUAGAGAGAAAUGGAGAGACAUGUUCUCUCCAAUUUUCUCCAAAACAAACCCUUAAUGAAUUUUGGCUAUAAAGUCAUAUUUAUACCUUAAUUCAUUGGAGUGGCAAACUUGUAAAUAAGUCCAAAACCCACUCCAAAAGCAUCAUGGCCGGCCUUGGGGUUUCAUUGGGCCUUUUAGGCCUUUGUGAAUCAUUAUUCAUUAAGUUGUCAUACAACUUAAGUCAAUGGGCUUGACGUUCGAAGCCCAUUGGGCCUUAAGGUCCAAAACUAUCCCGAGGUCCUUAACGAACUUAUUCGUUUGAUUAAUUAACAUAUUAAUUAAUCAUUGCCAUAAAUAAUUAAACCAUUUAAUUAUUCUUACUCAUCUCCAUUGUUUCUUCAAUCUCCACCUUACACGGUGUACGAUCCAUUAGGUUCCUUUUAGCGAGGUAGUGGGCGAUUAAAACCAUUUUACAUCGAUUGUGAAUUGAAACUUACUUUCAAUUCUCCCUUUAGUGAUUACACACGUUUAGGGCUUCCACAAACCAUGAGUGACACCUAGCAGCAUAUCAUGGUUACCCAAGCUAAUCAGAAGAGGUGGAGAACCUAUUCAGUUUAGGAUUACAAAUGCAAUACAAUCUUUCUCUAAUACAAUACUCUUGACCACAUUGUUUGGUUUGAUAGUUUAUUUAUUCAUGUCUACUAUCCAAUGUGAUUCGUGUGCUUAUAUGAUUACCUUAAAUGUGAUUUGGAACGCUUUCCUAAAUCUCAUUCAUACUCUGGCCAGAGGUUCUAAUCAUAUCAUAGAGUAUUCUCCCUCAAACGGUUUGAAGGUUAGAGAUCCCUUGUUGCGCAUUCACUUGUCUCCAUGACUAAGUGGCUUAACCCCAAUGAUGUCGUGGACACCCCGAUGGGGUGACUUUGACAUAAUCAAAGAUCAAGGACUUAACCACAAGACAACUGUGAUGCCUCAGGUCAAAUGACUACUUUGCAUUAUCCCAACCAUGAGUUCUCAUGUGACAUGAAUAUGAGAACUCUUCGUUGAUCCUGUUCAGUGAACUCAUUCUCUAUUGAGCACCUACGUACUUGACUUGAUGUCACACACACCAAUGACUCGAGACUAGUCACUCUCCUUGAGAGAAGACACAGUACGUACUGAUCUUAACGGACUGUCAAUGCCCAAUUGGCAAUCCUAUGAUCCGGAACAUUUAGGAUGUGUCUACGAAAGAAUGGUCUCAUGAAUCUAACUUUUUUAGAUCGUAUUCUCCCAAUCACAUAUUCCUUGGACUUAUCGUUUAAGCAUAUAACAUUUAUAUGAGACGGCUCAAACAAUAAUCUUUGCCCUUGAUAUUAAACUAGAUUAGUUUAACAUGUGAAAUGUCCAUAAAGUAUCAUCAUAUGAUUGGUUUUAGGGCACAUUUCCAACACAAAGCUCUAGUGAUAUGUGGAAUAGUUUGAAAGAAAGAUUUGCUCAUAUGACUCGCACUAGCAUUGUUCAAAUGAAGAUUGAUCUGCAGAACAUUAAGAAAGGGCCAGAAUCCAUUGAUGCUUAUUUGCAGAGAAUUAAAGAGUGUAGGGAUCAAUUAGCUACUGCUGGUGUUGUGAUUUCUGAUGAGGAUAUUGUCAUUGUGGCUUUACGAGGAUUACCUACAUAAUACAAUACCAUUAAGUCUGUGAUUCGGGACAGAGAGAGUUUGGUUACAUUGAAAGAGCAUAAGUCUCAGCUCAAGGCCGAAUAGUCUACUUUGGAAGAAGUUCUUAAACCACCACCUUUAAUGGCAGCUAUGUUUGCCAAUACUUAUGGUCCAACUUAUGAAAUUGGUGGCUCUUCCAACUCUAACUCACAUAUUGGCAGCUUUGAUCUUGGAUCUCAUGGUUCCUCAUUUUCACCAAUGGCUUAAUUUCAACAAUUACCAUUUCCUUCUUCCCAAGGUCCUGUUGCUUUUGUUUCUCAAACUGGUUCUGGAACUUAUAACAAUUUUAGGGGGAAUAACUAUAGAUCCAAGGAUAAAGGGAAGAGGUUCCAUGCUGGUUAUCAACAACCUUCUGGAUAUCUAAAUUUUGCACAACCUCCACUCCAAUCUCAGUCACAGUUUCAAAAUCCUGGAAAUCAAAUGGUUUCAGGUGAAUCUUUUCAACCAUUACUUGUUUUCCAAAUAUGUGAUAAGAAGGGACAUGUUGCUUUAAACUGCUUUCAGAAUGGCUGCCAAAUCUAUCACAGAAAGGGACACACAGCUGCCACUUGUUUUGACAAGAAUAAUCUUGCAUCUAUGACUGUGCCUAUGUCUCAGACUUUCUUCCCAUCUCUUAUGAUGUUUCAGCAACAUUCAUAUCCUUUUACUCCUUCACAGUUGCAGCUACAUCUUCAGUCUCCAAAUUCUUUUCCUUCUCAAGUGCAGCCUUCCACUAUGAUGUCUUAAUCUCAGUUUUCUAAUGGGGUGAUAUAUUCUCAACAAAAUUCACCUGUUGCUUUUAUUGCCAGAACCAAUUUCUCUCCAACAGCCCCACAACAAGAGUAUUGGUUGCUGGACUCUGGAGCAACUAAUCAUAUAACAUCCGAUCUCUCUAAUAUGCAAGUUACUACUCCAUAUGCUUCCUCAGAGACUGUGACUGGUGCUAAUGGUGAAGGUUUACAAAUUUCACACAUUGGUCAAGCUAGUAUAUCUACUCCUUCUCAUACACUUGAGUUAAAAUUUGUGUUACAUGUUCCACAACUAUCACAACACUUACUGUCUAUGUAUCAAUUAUGCAAAGACAACAAUUAUAGGUGUAUUGUUGAUGAGUUUUCUGUGUGUAUACAAGACAAGGUCACCAACAGGAUUCUAUAUCAAGGACUGAGAAACUAAGCUGUCUACCCACUUCCUAUUCUCAAAUCACCAAAGACAAAUCCUGCAACAUUUCUUGGACAGAAAAUAAAUGCUUCUCUUUGGCAUUGCAGAUUGGGUCAUCCCACCAAUUCUGUAACUCAAGUAGCUCUUAGUAAGUCAGCCAUUAAUUUCCCUUGUAAUUCACCACCUCAAACUUGUACUGCUUGUUUACAAGGCAAGUUCACCAAGUUGUCUUUUCCUAUAAUGGCUUCAAAGUCCCUUGUUCCUUUUGAAGUCAUUCACACAGAUGUAUGGGGUCCCUCUCCUACUAAGUCUAUAGAAGGGUAUAGCUACUAUGUGUCAUUUAUUGAUGAAUGUACACGAUAUACAUGGAUUUUCCCCAUGAAUAAUAAAGCUGAUGUCUUUGAGAUAUUUGUCCGAUUUCAUGCUUAUGUUCACAACUACUUUUCUGCAAAUAUUAAAGUUUUGCAAAGUGAUGGUGGAGGUGAAUAUGUUAGUACUCUUUUUCAAAACUUUAUCACAACCAAAGGCAUUGUUCAUAAAAAAUCUUGUCCAUACACCCCUGAACAUAAUGGUUUAGCUGAAAGAAAGAAUAGGCAUCUUGUUGAAACUGUUGUUACAUUACUUCAAAAAGCCUUCUUUUCAUCUAAGUUCUGGUUUCAUGCAUGUGCCACAGCUGUCUAUCUUAUUAAUAGACUGCCUACUUCUAUCUUACAUAUGCAAUCGCCAUUCGAAAUGUUGUAUAAAUCUCCACCUCCAGUUGAUCAUUUAAAGGUUUUUGGCUGUGCUUGUUACCCUUCCUUAAAACCUUAUAGACAUCAUAAACUUGAUCCUAAGACUACUCAGUGUAUUUUCUUGGGAUAUGUUGCUCAAUAUAAGGGGUAUGUAUGCUAUGCUAUAAGGGAUAACAAGUUAAUUGUUUCCAGGCAUGUUUUGUUUGAUGAAACUGUUUUUCCUAGUGAACAUGGGAUGUCUUCUUCAUUUUCUAGUCAUGCUAUAUCUUCUAAGUCACUUCCAGCUACCAUAACUCAUCCUACUACAUUUCAUCAUCCUCCCAUUAUUCCCAUACCAUUUCCACACAUUUCAUCUUCUCCGAUACCUGUUACUCAGUCCUGUUCCCAAUCAAAUGGUGAUCUUGGUCCUACUUGAGGUGUUUCUACUUCAGAGUCUCCAUCUUUCUUGAUGCUAUCUGAAAAUCAUCCUGAUGUAACUAGUUCUUAGGCUCCAGAUUUGCAACAAGUAUCUAUGAUCAGUCUUAAUACUCAUCCAAUGCAAACCAGGUCCAAGUCUGGAAUUUUUUAAAAGAAGGCUUUUUCUGCUUCUAUUCAAGCAGAUUCAUCUCUGGACAAGGAACCUCAAUCUUUUUGAGUUGCUGCUAAAUCCUCUCAGUGGCAACAAGCAAUGACAGAAGAGAUUGAGGCAAUUUUCAAACAGAAAACGUGGACACUAGUUCCUCUCCUACUUCAUAAGAACUUGGUGGGUUGUAAAUGGAUAUAUAAAGUGAAAAGACAUCCUGAUGGAUCGGUUGCCAGGUAUAAGGCUUGUUUAGUGGCCAAGGGAUUUUCUCAAGAAGCUGGUCUCGAUUACUAUGAGACUUUUAGCCCUGUGGUUAAGCCUACAACAAUUCGGUUGAUGUUGUCAUUGGCUGCAACAAAGGGCUGGAAACUUAAGCAGCUAGAUGUGAAAAACGCUUUUUUGCAUGGCUUUCUAGAUGAGGAAGUAUACAUGUCUCAACCACAAGGGUUUGUUGACAAGGAUCAUCCAGAUUUUGUAUGCAAAUUAGAAAGGUCUUUGUAUGGCCUCAAACAAGCUCCCCAAGCUUGGAAUGAAAGAUUUUCUAGAUUCCUUCUCAGUUUAGGGUUCAAAGCUUCAUAUCCCGAUCCUUCUUUAUAUGUCAAGAGUGAUGGUCAUUCUCUUGUUGUGUUGCUAUUAUAUGUUGAUGACAUUAUACUCAGUGGAGAUGAUGAUUCUCUUGUUCAGUAUGUGAUUAAUCAAUUAACCAGUGAAUUCGAUAUGAAGGACUUACGGGUCUUACACUAUUUUCUUGGGUUACAGAUUGAGUAUCAACCUUAGGGAUUGCUAGUUUAUCAGUCUAAGUAUAUCAAGGACUUGCUGCAUAAGGCACAUAUGUUUGAUAGUAAGCCUUGUACCACUCACUGUCAUCCUUACCAAAAGCUCUUAAAUCAUGGUAGUCCUCCAUUUCAUGAUCCAGGUCUUUACAGAAGUAUAGUUGGAGCCUUACAGUACUUGACUUUCACUCGACCUGAUAUAGCCUACUCAGUCAAUUAGGUAUACCAGUUUAUGCAUUCUCCUUUUGAAAGUCAUUUUGUUGAUGUGAAAUGAAUCUUGAGGUAUCUCAAAGGAUCUAUGACUCUCGGUUUGUGCUUUAGACCUGGUAAUCUGGAUAUACGAGCUUACACAGAUGCUGAUUGGGCUGGGGAUCCUAAUGACAGAAGGUUAACCACUGGUUUUGUUGUAUUUUUAGGUGAUAAUCCGAUUUCUUGGAGUUCUAAGAAACAUCAUACUGUUGAGGAUGUGUGGAUUCAACAGUUACUCAAUGACCUAUUUCUCUCUUCUGCAACAACUCCAUUGCUCCACUGUGAUAAUAUAUCAGCUAUAGCCUUAGCAACUAAUCUCAUUUUACAUUCUAAGGCUAAACACAUAGAGAUUAACUGUCAUUUUGUGUGGGAAAGAGUGCAGCAAGGCACAAUUCUGUUGCAGUUUGUUAAUUCCUCAUAACAGUUUGCUGAUAUUCUUACCAAGGGUCUAUGUUUUCCAUUGUUUAAUUCUCAUUGCACCAAUCUUAUGCUUGGGAAUGCCCAGCAUAAAAUUGAGGGGGAAUGUUAGAAUAAAAGUUAGUAUUGUUUUACACUGCCAAGUGUCACAAUUGUAUUGGAGAUUCUAGAAGUUAGUUAUGUGUGAUUGUAUUUAUAAGGAUGUAUGAUGUAAUAAUUGAGAUAUAAUGAAAUAAUAGUUUCUCUCUACACUCUCUCUCUCUCUCUUCAAAAGCUCUCUAGUUCUUCUCUUCUUUUCACCAUAGCUUUCUCUUAGUGUUAUCAUGGGGGUGUUAUAUUGAUACGACAUGCUGCCUAAUUUUUCUAUUUUUGGAUUGCUAGAUCAAAGAAGGAAGUUCAAUUUAUCAAGGAUAAAGGUUUGGACUACUAGACAGCAUGCCGCCUUCGGUUUGAGGUAUGGAAGUUUCGUGCUUACAAUCUGGCCGCUUACGUGUUUAAAUUUCUGGUUUAUCAAUAUGCUCAAGAUUUGGUUAGCAGGUAGUUAUGCUAACAAAUCAAAAUUCCUUUAAGAAUCUGGUUGGUAAUCUUGGUAACCUCUAUAUUUGUGUAAAAAUCAAGAGCCAUCUGCAUAGUCCUAUGCUAAUGAGCUGCAAGUAAAACUUCAGUAAUAAUGUGUUUUUGUAUUUCUUUCUAGCGAUCAACUCUUUACGCUCGAAAUUUGGCGAUUAGGACUUGCCUUUGAUUUUAUUCGGUGCAGCAGAGUUUUUCUUCGAUUUGUUCAUCUUCUUCCUGAUUUUUGUUCCAUUUUUUUUAUAUUGUUUUGGGAUAUGUGAAUGUAAUUUUUUGGGUAUUUCUUUGCUUCAAUUCUCUCUAAUUUUUUGUUGUUUAGUUUGACUGGUAUUUCCCUAUUUGUUACCCAAACAACAGUCCUCUUAGAUACUACUUGCUUGGAGUACCAUAUACCUAUAUAGUAGUUUGAAACCUGACCUAGUUUGAAGAAACCUAGCUCAAACAUCCCACCUGCAGAGAUAAUGGUUUGAUCGCCAGAGAGAGAUUUGCAUGACAUGAUUAAGCUCUUUGGAAACAGAGUGUUCAAACACUUUUCAAAGUUUGAGUCCCAACAUUUGUUCAAAAUUGUAUAAAAGAUCAGUUAUGGAAAUUUGUGUUAUAUUCUUAUAUCAAAGAUAUUACAAUUUGUUUCCUCACCCAAAAAAGAGAGGAAAUAUUCCUAUUCAAAUCUGGGUGCCCCCGGAGGCAUCUUUUUUUUUUUAAUAUUAUUUUGCAACUUUGCCACCAAUGUGAAUUAGGGUGGCAUUGUUUGCAGAUGACACCAAUGCAAUAUUGGUAGCCAUUGUUACAAUAGAGUCCUCUACAUAGGCCAUGUUCUCUAGUUUAGUGGCUGCUUUGUGGCCAUUUAGGUUUGCCACCAAUGAAAGUGUCCACACUUGACAAUAGACACCAAUGAAAAGGGUGGCUUUUAGCCAAAAUUCUAGUAGUGUUUGGAGUGCUACUAUUAUAAGGACGUGGUCGUUGUAUCUUGGGAGACAAGAGCCGAUCAACCAUGAGCAUCGUAGUGGGGCGUAAACGUGUCUUAAUGAUAGAGUGUCUAACACUUGCCUCAACAAUAUUUCCACAUUUUUCAAAUCCAUUAUGUCAUGUUCAUUUAACAUUGAUUACUCAUGCGCAUGCAUUAAUUUUGAUAUAUAAUUGCAUGAAUUAUUUCUUAAUUUUCUAUGUGAUUUAAUAUAGCAAUAGACCAUAUUUUUCAAGUUCGUCUACCCAAGGAGAUUGCCGGUAUAUUACGUACAUAUCAUAACUGAAGAAGGCAUCUACUUUUCAGUGUGUAGAAAAAUAUUCUUGUAUGAUUUAUUUCAUUCCCAAUUACACAAUAUAUAAGAUACAUCGGUAUAAUGGUUGAUUACAAUUGAAUGGAUUACACAACAAGAUAUGAAAUAGCCAACUUUCCAUUAUUGACACCAUCUUAUUGAUGAUAGAGAGAUUUGUUGUGAUGAUGGAGAUGAGAGAAUCCCGAUGUUGACCUUAAAAACUAUUUAGCCUACAUGACGCACAUGCCGAAUAGUUAAUAAGCUAACUACAUCCAUCGGUUGAUUACAGGGCUUGCCAAAUCGUCGGUCGAGCUUGGGCGGGGAGUGAAUGAGUUGAUGUGGCGUUGUGCGCGCUGAUGACUUCUGAAUCUUGUGACUGCGGCUGAAGAAGGAACACGUCUCAACCUUCGAGUUGUACAGCCUGAAGACAAGGCUGUUAGUUCUGCGAAUUUCACGAAUCGUGGGCACUGGGUUCAGCAAUGGCGAAUCGAUACCGAAUUGUAGAGGCACAAGUAUUUUGAGAUAUGUGUCUUGAUUGUAAAUAUGAUUCAACUGUUUGAGUGUCGAACUCUGAAAUGCACUUGUGAGUAUCCUAUCAUAUACUAAGUUCGGCCUUCAGUGUGCCAAACGUCGUAACUUGGUAACACUUUACUUCAUUGAGAAGGCUAAUAAGAUGACCUUUUCCAACAAGGACUCAACAAAUCCUUGUUGAUCGAGACUUGGAUAGAUAACCAGUCGGUCGCGAAGAAAUGUUGUUUAUCCAAACUGAAGGUGCUCUUCAAUAGGCUGAUUCUACAGCUCCAGUGUUGUUUAUCCAAACUAAAGAUGUUGCCAGUUGCCAACAUAAUGUUGUUUAUCCAAACUCAAGGUAUAUUGGUGUUAAAAAGGUAAAAUAAAAAUCUCAAGAUGUGUGAGAGGUUUUGCAUAGAGCGAGAGUUUACGCAAGGCAGUUUUGUGUGUUGGUCUAGAGGGGAUCUUAACUUCCUGUUGCUUCUUUAUUUAUAAAACAUAUUUUCACCUUGGCACGACCUGACAAUUUUGUAGAGUUCAAUAGAUUUAGAUCCCAUCUGGAUCCAAAUUGUAGGGAUCCUAUAGAUCCAAAUUGUUGGGAUCCUAAGGAUCUCCACGUCCUAGCCGUUCAUCGUAUAUCGUGCAGUCAGAAAUCUUUUUGAAUGAUGUAAGUAUCUCUAAAUCCCUAAAAAAAAAGAUCUGAAAAGAAUCCUCAUCUGAGUUCAACUGCAACUCAAACCAGUAGAAUUGAUCUAUGCCAUAGGCUAAAGCCUAUCCCCCAAUCAAAAACUUAUCACGUCACCAGAAAAAAAAACAAGUUUAUCUCCAUCAAAUCACUUCACUGAUCCAAGCCAUGCAUAUUUCCGUUGAUGAGACCGCGGAGAAAUUAUAGAGUAGUACUGUAGUACCACGUGGCAAGGCCAAAUGGUAGUACUCAUUAAUCAGAUUAAGAAACAUUUAAUUAUGAGAUAAUAAAAAUAUCAGUGUUCUAAAAAUCGGCCUAGGUAGCGCCUAGGCGCUGAGCGGUGGAGCUUUGACUCGAUUUAGACCAAAACGUUCAGUUAGGCGGGGAGGACUUAGGCGGCCGCCUAAGCUCUUGCUAGGAGCCUGAGGCGGGCUAAGCGACGCUAGGCGACAAUUUAGACGGUUUGAAUCCUGCUGCAAUUUUCGCAAAGGAUCUACAACUUUCGAUCUCGUACGUAGCAGCAGAGCCCCGGCGAAUUUCUACAGCUCGUCUCUGUGAAGAUGAGGGAAGAGAGAGUGCUAUCAGCAAAUUUUUGCAGCUCGUUUGUGAAGAUGAGGGAAUAUAAAGUGCGAUGAAAGAGAGAGAGACUUAAACAUUUCAAUGUGGUGGCACAAGUUGAGGAUUGGGAUCUCAAAUCCAAGGUUAAAAGCUGAUGGUUUUAUUUAUGAAAACCACCCAAGGUGGACGGUUGAUGGUUUUAAUAAUGAAAACCACGCACUAUGUGGGCUUUUUAUAUUUUUAAAAGUUUGGGAUAUAUUAUAAAGGUCGUACCCAGUGCACAAGGCUCCCGCUUUACGCAGGGUCUGGGAGAGGUGAAUGUCGGCUAGCCUUACCCCCAUUUAUGGAGAGGCUGCUCCCAAGUCUCGAACCCGAGACCUACCGCUCAUGGGCGAAGGCACUUGCCAUCGCACCAAGUGCGACCUCUUGGGAUAUAUUAUAUAUAUUACAAAUUAUUUAGAUAAUAUUUUGUUUUUUUUUCCUAGGCAAGCAUAGUAUAUACUAGAGAGACUCCCCAGUUCCCCCAACUUUUCCAGCUUCCUUCCGCUCCUAGAUGAGCAACGCAUGUACAUCCAAACUCCUUCCCUUCCUAGAUGACCAGCACGCAUACAUCCAACCUCCUUUCCUUCUUAGAUGACCAACACACUGCAUAAUGGGUAAACCAGUAAAUUCACUGUGCAAAAUGGAAAAUACGGGCUAAUAUCAAAGGAAUUGGAAGGCAUUUUCGUCCAUUCACUGUUAAUGAACAGUGUUUUUGUGUUGGGUUUUAGUAUAUGUAUAAUGUACAUAAAACCUUCACAUAUGUAUGUUCUUCUAUAAGAAAUAACAUAUUAGUCAAUAAUUAGUUACUUUUGAUAUAGUAAAUUUAAUUAAUUUAUAAAAUAUAUAACAAAUUUACCUAAAUCCGUCUAGGCCGCUAGGCCGCCUGUCUAGACCCCACCCAACCACUAAGUGCCAACCCGCCGUCAGACUAGCGCUUAACGUUUUUUAGAAUCUUGAAAAAUAUUUAUAAUUGUUUAAUUAUUUCAUUAACUAUCAAUAAAUCUGAAACCUCUCCGGCUUCUUCUCUCUCCUCUCUGUUCAUCGAGAAAUCUUUAACUUCAUCUCUUUCUUCUUCGUCUAUCUCCUCAUUGCCUCCUUUCUGUCGCAGAACUUCGUCCUCCGUGCGCUCUGCCGGUGAAUGACUACUGAUCAAAAUUUAAAUGAGACUUUUGAACCAAGGAGGUCCCUGUUCGAAAUGAGUUCGGCUUUCGUCACUGUUAAAAUUUAAAUGGGAAUGAGAGAGAUGAGUUCGAUGUCCUUCCUUCUGUUGUUUAGAUUUAUGUCAGAAGUCAGAAUUAUUCAUUUUGUUUCGAUCGUUUGUCUGUAAAACGUUCACCAAAAUAUUGCAUAUUUUGAAUGACCGGCCGACGAAAUUAGAUCCUCUCCGGACCAAUUUCAUAUGGACCCUCUGGACCAUUUAAUCCCGACUGUUCACCAUAGAAACGGCGGUGAGGACUAAAACUUUUUUUUUAUUUUAACUCUUCGCUCACCACGAAACAAUGAAAACAAGAAAUUAAAAGAUGAAAAUUGAAACACUUUUCAGAUUCUUUGCAGCUGAAAAUCAGUGAAAGGAUGAAAAAUUGUAUUUUUGGAUUUGUAGCAAUCUUGAAGGUUUGGAAAAUUGAAAUAGUUUUCAGAUUUUUUUUGCAGUUGAAAAAUAGUGGAAGGAUUGAAAGUUGUAGAUUUGCAGCAACCUUGAAGGUCUGGAGCUUUUCUUCAAUGAACGUCCAGAGCUUUGCUUCAAUGAAUUGUCUUGUGGGAGGAGAGAGAAGACAACAGACGAAGUUGAGGCGGUGAAGAGUUAAAUGCAUUAUUAAUAAAUUAUUAACUGAUUAUUCAAUUUAUCUUUCCACGUGUCUUAAUAUGAUUAGUAAGUACUAUCAUUUGGCCUUGCCACGUGGUACUACAGUACCACUUUAUAAUUUCUCAAAGACCGCGUGCAUGCACUAUGAUUCCUUCGUCAAAUUAAACUCUGACAUUUCAUUCGAAUUGAUGUAAUGUAAUCACCAUAUCUCAAGAUAAAGUUACGUGCUACAACCACCACAAUCACUCAAACAUGUUCAUGAAUUCCAAGCCAAUUUGAAUACUACCACUACUUCCAGAAUUGAGAUAUGACUUUGGGCUUUGAUAAUAAGCCACGUAGGAGAUUGCAUGCACUGGGGCUUGAUGUGAUAGUGUAUUCGAAUGUCUUCACGCAAUCUUUGAAAAUUGCACACGUGCCCACUUUUUAUUCCCAUGCAUAUUUAUGGAUCUCUCUUGCAUGUAUAUUAACCGUUUAUGGAUCUCUCUUGCAUAUAUAUGCAUAUGUACACGUUGUCGACUCCAGACUUCCUUCAUAUAUCCAUAGUCAUAGAUUCAAUUUGCUGAAAAAUUCUAGAUAGUUGGCUCAUCUGUCUACACCCACGAAACUAGAAGGUGAUAUUUUCUUGCUUAAUUGUAUCGCUUUGUUUGUAGGCUUUUGUUUUCUGUGAUCCAGAUGCUUUAUUAUACUAACGUUUCCUUGGCUCUUCGCCUCUGUUGAGGGAUCUUGUUUUUCUUGUUUAAGUUAUGCAUAUGUAAGCUAGACUAGUUAGACGAUAAUUUGAAAUCUCUCUACUCGUAAAUUGGAUUGGUUACAAAAAAAAAAUUGUCUUGUCGUAAAAGCUAAUUAAUAAAAACCGAUAUUGAUUUGGCUUUUUGGAUGGUUUUUUUAAGGAAAUAAUUUAAUCAAUGGAUGGGAUGGACUUAACACCCGAGUCAGCUCAAAAGUUGUUUGAAGGAGACGGAGGAGCAUAUUACAUUUGGUCGAGUUCAGAUGCUCCGGUGCUUGCUGAGGCCAAGGUUGGUGCAGGCAAGCUUGUUCUUCAACCUCAUGGCUUUGCACUUCCUCACUAUGCAGAUUCCUCCAAACUGGGAUAUGUUCUUCAAGGUAAGUAAUAACUAAUUAACUACAGCAUGCAAAUACAUAUAUAAAUAAAUGCAUUUAUAAAUAUCAUGUUCACGUAUGAGAGAUUUUUUUUUUAUUACGUCUGGAACACGAGAGAAUAUUAAUGUCACUGGAAAGUUUUUUUUAUUCAAGUGUCCAUCCAAUUGUAAAAUAACAUGUAGUGUUCUGUCUCGUUUUUCUAGUACACUAAAAAAUCUCUUCACCUACAUGUUUGCCUAUUUUAAUUAAUUUGUUUUUGUAAUUAAGAAAGAUGGAAAACAAAACUUUGUUAUUUGUUCAUCAAUGCCCUUAUUGUAUAACUAGCUAUAUGAUGGAAAACAAAAGUUUGUUAUUUGUUCAUCAAUGCCCUUAUUAUAUAACUAGCUAUAUGAUGGAAAACAAAAGUCAUACUUAACUUGCUAGACUAUAAUGCUUAUAUUAUUGUUGAAGAUCUUAAUUAGCUCUAAUGGUGAUGCAGGUGAUGAUGGAUUAGUAGGAAUGGUAUUCCCUAACACAUCAGAGGAGGUGGUGGUUAAGGUUAAGAAAGGAGAUGUGAUACCAGUACCAGUUGGAGCAGUCUCAUGGUGGUUCAACAAUGGAGAUCGCUCUGAGGAGCUUGUUGUUGUUUUCUUGGGUGAAACUGCCGGAGCUCACAUUCCCGGCCAAUUUACGUAUUUUUUGAUUGCCGGAACCCUAAGUCUACUUGCAGGUUUCUCAACUGAAUUUGUCAGCAAGUCCUUCAACAUCACCGAGGACGAAGCUGAUGACAUCACCGAAAGCCAGACUGGGGUUUUGAUCAUCAAGCUAGGUCAAGAUGAAAAGACCAAAAUGCCCCUUCCCAAUCAGAAACUCACCCACACACAUGUUCACAACAUUACUAGUAGUAAAACUACGGCCACAUUGACUGAGAAGGAAUUCCCUCUUCUUAAAGAAGCUGGGUUAAGUGCGAACCUCACGAAACUCGAGGCCGACGCAAUUAGCUCUCCAAUUUACGCACCUGAUUCCACAGUCCAGGUGAUUUAUGUUGCUCGAGGGAGUGGCCGGAUACAGAUUGUGGGUGUUAACGGUCAAUGUUUGUUGGACGCAGAGGUAACUGCCGGCCAACUGCUUGUGGUACCAACGUUCUUCAUGGUUGCUAAACUUGCAGGACAAAAUGGGUUGGAAUGUUUCACUGUCAUCACCAGUUCUCAGUAAGCACAUUGAGCUGUCACAACACCACUACUUUAAUUUCAAUAGUACCUUUUUUUUGUCUAUUUAUUAAAUGAAUUCAUUUCCAUAAUGAAGUACAAAUGAUUUCAUUUGGACACACAAACAAAUUGAUGCGCAUAUUAACGUACUCUAUAAUUCAAGUAGAUCUCACGUAUAAUAGUAUAAUCCAUUUGUAUUAAAAAGGGAGAAAGAUUCUCUCGCCUUUUAAUCUCUCUCCCAUUUCUUUCUCUCCUACUUGAACGGUUAUGAUUAAGUAACGUCAACAUCUUAUAUUUUAUUGAUUGUUUUAUAGAGACAAUAAGACAAAAACUAAUAUGUGAGAGGAGGGGAGGAAAAUGGAUGAGAAUAGAAGGGAAAGUAAUUUCAGUCUAUUAAAAAGUGUGUAAGUGUUGUAUGUAUAAAUAGUUUUAUUGCUGAACAUUAUUGUUGUGCAAAAUACUUUAAUUUCAGUAAGAAUAAAUAAUAUCGAAAUGUCACAACAACACUACUUCAAUUUCAGUAAUAUUUUUUUUUCUUUUCUUGAUGAAAUUAUUUGGAGACUGAAUUAUUGCUGUAUGAAACACUGUGUGUAUAUAUAUGUGUGUGCGUAUAUUAAUAUAGGGAUAACAUAAUUGGUAUUAUUUUUGCAGGCCUGUCCUGGAAGACUUAGCUGGAAAGACGUCAGCACUGGGAGCAUUAUCGCCGGAGGUACUACAAAUAGCCCUUAAUAUAAGUCCAGGGCUGGAACGACUUCUCAAGUCAAAGAUUAGAAAGGGCUGAUCGAUCAUGAUCAACGGUUCAACGGCCUAAUAAUUUAUCUUAUAUAUAUUAAUAAGCAGAUCAUCAUGCAUGAUAUAUUACUGCAAUGCAAGAGUGCGGUCGGAUCUUUCUGGUUAUCUUUAUUUUUAUGUGAUUUUCUUGAAUAAAAUUCUGCGAAUGGAUUACGGACGUGACAAUGUAAGGAUUCAGUAUUAAUAAAAUAGGACAAUAAAACUCCUAGAAAAGUAAAAGACUUCAGUUAAUACUAGAAAUAUAAUAAGCCACAAAUUUAAAGCAAGAUACAUGCAUUAUAGCUCUAAAAAUGCAUAUAUUUUUUCAUAUCAUUCUAAUCCCUUGAUGCCAUAGCUGCCACUAAUUUUAUGCAAUAAUGAUCUUGGUCCAUGGCCUGCAUCAGGUCGCUAGCAUCCUCUUUUCCUAAUUACCAUAGCAGUUGUUAUAUGACUUCAUAUAACAACUAGGUUGGAGCUAAGGUGAUGCAACCGAAAUGCACACAAGUAUUGUUUCAUAGGAAAACUAAUGAAAGGGGCUUGAAAACUUUGAGUUUUAACGAUAAGGACAAAAUAAAGGGUAAAGUGAAUAGUACCAUGAUUGACUUUUUAGUGUAAAAAUGUGGUUUUUCGUUGAAAUGAACAGUACCGGGAGCUUUUCAUUGAAGUUCCCUUGUUUCAUUUCACAAAGCACCCUACUGAAGCUACUACGCAUGUUAGCUAUAGAGGUCCAAUUUUCAAAAGAAAAAGCUGGCUACAAUCAUGUUAGCUACUCUACAUGAACAAACACAAUGCGUCUAUAGAAAAUAUACAUGCAAUCUAAUCAGUCUCCGGAAAAUUUAAAGGGAGCAAAAUAAAUGUCAACAUAUGCUGUCAAACAGUUUCUUUUAGGAAUUAUAUUGAACAGGUCGAUCCUCCCCUCCCGUCUGUUUUAGCAAUUUAUCUUAAGGUCUCCGCUCUAAGAGCUCCCUGGUAACAACAGAGGAGCCGACCCACCACCCCGUCGCGCCAGGCUUUUUUGUUUCACAAUAAAACCUGGACGAUUAUCCCUACCCUUGAUAGCUUAUGGGUUCACGUCCAUCCCCGAUUGGAUACUUUUGUUUAAAGAUACACGGUACUUUCUGCAUUCAAACCGGCCAACAAAAUCCAAAAGACCAGUCCGUGCUCACCAAACUAUAUAUUCGGUCUCCAUCAGAAAGACACCAAUUGAGUUCUUGUACUGGUGUAACUGCAAGGAUUCAUGUGCACAUCGUUCCAACCAUUCAAUUUUCAGUAAUUACUAGGGAGUAGGAUUCUCUCCCCUCCUAUUCUCAUCCCCUUCCCUCCCCUCCUCCCACACUUUGUUUUUUGUCUUAUUGUCUUUAUAAAAAAAUCAAUAUAAGAUGUUAACGUAGCUUAACUGUAACCAUUCAAGUACCAGGGAAGGAAAGGGGAGAGAAAUUAGGAGGGGAGAGAAUCCUCCACCAAUUACUAGUGCUCAACGUGCAAAAAAUAAAAUUGUACAAUGUACAUAACGGCCACCACUAAGUACAGAGUUCAGAUUUAGUUCCCACUGAAAUAUUCCUUCUCGGCCAUAGCGUGAAAUGAAGCUCAAAAGAGUAACGCAGAGCCCAACUAUAUAUGUUUACGAUACAAUAUAGUUCUCAUUGGCUAGAAUUCUACAAGGAUAGAACCGAUGAAGGAGAGUUGGAUAGAACCGAUAAGAACUAUGAAAGGUAUGAGAUAGCAAAGAAUGAAGUAGAGAAAGCCAUCAGCGAAGCGAAGCUAGCGGCUUUUGACAACAUGUGUAAGCAAUUAAAUACUAAAGAAUAAGAGUUAGAUAUUUAUAAAUUGGCCAGAACAAGGGAAAGGAAGACAAGACUUUAACCAAGAAAGGUGCAUCAAGGAUGAGAAUGGAAAUGUUCUAGCUAUGGAGAAUGCGGUUAUAGACAGAUGGAUAGCUUAUUUUCAUAAUCUCUUCAUUGAAGGACACGACAUGAGUACUUAGUUUUUUGGAUGAGUUGAGUGACUCGGAAGAGUGUAGAAUUACUUCUUUUACCGCUGAAUUAGGAAAGAGGAAGUGGUUGUAGCUUUGAAAAAAUGAAGCAUAGAAAGCAGUGGGUCCAGAGAUAUACUGAUCGAAGUGUAGACGGUCUUGGGAAAGACGGGUAUAACAUGGCUCACAAGCCUUUUCAAUAAGAUUUUAAAAAUGAAGAAGAUGCCCAAUAAGUGGCAAGAAAUCACUUUGGUGCCGAUCUUCAAGAAUAAGGAUGACAUAUAAAAUUGUAUGACCUAUAGAGGUAUUAAGUUAAUGAGUUAUACAAUGAAGCUCUAGGAGAGGGUAAUUGAGCAUAAACUGAGACACAGGCCUCAGAGAAUCAAUUCGGGUUCAUGCCAAGGUGCUCGUCAAUGGAGGCAAUCUAUGUGAAACCCCACCCCCAAAAUAAAUUGUAAUUUCACAUUUUCUUUAAAGUUAUGAAAUUACCUUUGUGUCCCUUAUCUUUAUACCCAAUUCGAAUCCUCUUUUUAGAUUCUCAUCCUCUCUCUGUUUGCCACGUGGGAGCCCCCUAACCCAUCCUCUCAUUCUCUCUUUUCUCCCCCGAACUCUAUCUCAGCUCAUUCACUCCAUCUCACUCUCUUUCCCUUUCAGAUCUCACUCACUCUCCUCUUCUCGUUUUCCCGGUGACACCUAAGGCUCCCAACGCCCAAAUCGUGACACCCCAGCGACCUCACCACCACCACCCUCGUAUGGACCUCAUCCUCUCUCUCUCUCUCCUCUGUGCAGCAAAGAGAACUUAGCAAGCUUUCCCGAUGAACCCGUGGACUUCGAAGCGUUUUCUGGCUAACUCUGGCCACCACUCGUCGUGAAAAGCCUUUUCGAAACAAGCCAUUAGGCCAUGCCAAUCCAGGGCCUUCGGCCCGUUGAACCCCAAAGCCUUUAACCCAAAAACCCUAGGCCGGACCCUUGGACCCUAGGCCUUCGAGCCAUGAGAACCUGGACCUUCGGCCAGUUGACCCUAGGCUUAUGAAGCCCAAACCCUUAAGCCCAGAAACCCUUCGGCCCAAGCCCAAACCUGGUCAAACCCAGAACCCCGGGCCGCACGUGGGCUUAUGUGUGGGCGUCCGUGAGGUCGAACGGCUGUCGGCGUGUGGAGCACACAUACCCCCGUGGACUCACGGCGGCACGUGGCCACUGGAGCCGCCACUUUAUGGCUGUUAGAAUAUAUAGGAUAUGGAAGGUGUGGAUCAUGACACAUGUAAUCAGCCAAAUAGAAAAGGCAGUUAAGAGUGUGGAUGUUAGAAUAAUUAGUUAGGAUUGUUGGUAAGUAAUUGAGUUGGUUAAGGCAGUUAGCUAAGUACUCAUCUAUAUAACAAUUGUACCAUUUGUAACAAGUAUCAAUCAAGAAAAUAAGAAAAGCAAUUCAUUCUCUCUCUCUAAACCUUCUUUGGUUUCUUCUUUUUCCUCAUCUGUGAUUUUCUCUGUUCUCUUUCUGCAUAUUACUUAACAUGGUAUCAUCGUCUUGAAAGCCAUUCGAGCUUUCUCGAUUCAUGUGUUGCUUCCGCUACGAUCUUAACACACCGAUUCUUCUUCUUUCUCUAGAAAUUUCGAGCUUCUUUCUUACCCAGUUCUCUGAUUUCUUCUUGGUGAAUUCUUGCACGCUAGGUGUUUGGUUUUUUGUCUCACUCAGAUUCUUUCACAAUGAUCAUUGCGAAUCAGUUGCAAAUCUUGCAAUCACCGAUUACCAACUUGAUUUCAUCAGUCUCUAAUUCGGUUAAAGUGAAGUUGGAUGAUUCCAACUACCUUCAAUGGCAGUUUCAAUUGCAAUUGAUGCUCGAAGGCUAUAGAAUCAUGGGGUUCGUAGAUAGCACAAACGUGAGUCCUCUUCAGUUUUCUUCAUUUGGGUCUCCUGAUUCGGCACUAAUCGGUGUGUCUUCAACCCGACAAGCUGAAAAUAAUGAAUACAGGAUAUGGAAGAUGCAUGACAAGGCUCUCAUGCAACUUCUUACUGCAACUUUGUCUUCCUCUGCCAUUUUUUGUGCCAUAAGCAGUACUAGCUCAAGAGAUCUUUGGAUUCGGCUUCAAGAACAGUUUUCUACUGUUAGUCGUACAUCCAUUUUCCAAAUGAAAGUUGAUCUUCAUAACAUAAAAAAGGGUUCUGAUUCUAUAUCGAUGUAUCUUCAUCGAAUUAAAGCAACACGAGAUUUUCUUGCAGCUGCCAGAGUUGUCUUUGCUGAUGAAGAUAUUAUGAUUUUGGCUCUCAGUGGUCUUCCUACAGAAUAUAACACUAUCAAAUGUGUUAUUCGUGGAAGGGAAAGUGUUAUAUCUUUCAAGGAGUUUCGUUCUCAGUUACUUGCAGAUGAGGCCACUGUUGAGAACAAUUUCUCUAUGCCCUUUAUGUUUGCUAUGGUGGCCAAGAACAAUGGUCAAGGAUCACAAAGUUACUCUGUUAGGAACUCUUCUCGAAAUGGUUUUCAGAAUAAUACUAAAACAUUUAACAAUGGGGGCAGUUCCGGAUUUAAUGGCCAUUUUAGUCAAUCUAGUUUCUUCAAUGGUGAAAGGUCAAAGUAUAAAGGUAAAGGGAAGUUUAACAAUAAUCAAGGACAAAGAUAUUAUAAUUCCAAACAUGUGGUACAUGAUUUUGCUCCUGGAAUUCUUGGGACUUCGUCUUCAUUCAACAGUGGUGCAUCUUCUUCAAAUGUUAUAUGUCAGAUUUGCUCUAAACAAUGACAUUCUACUGUAACUUGUAAAUUUAGAGAUGUUGAGCCUGUUGAGCCUUGUCAAAUCUAUGACAGGAAAAAUCAUACUGCAAGAACUUGCUUCUUUAGGAAUAAAUUUCCUAAUCAAGUCUCACGCAUGGUAGCCAUGAACACCACGUACUCACACUCAGUGUCAUCCAAUCACAUGAUGCCUUCUGCAAUGUCCAACUCUGUACCUUUGUCCACCACCACACAAUAUUCGCUCGAAGUUUGGCUCACUAAUUCUGGGGCCACAAACCACAUGACUACUGAUAUGGGGAAUUUGAGCUUGGCAUCACCAUAUCCAAUUACUGAAACUGUCCAGACUGCAAAUGGGGAAGGUUUGCAAGUGUCUCACAUAGGCACAUCUUUCUUGAGGACCUCACAUCAUCCUUUGAAACUGAAUUCAGUUCUUUAUGUGCCAAGAUUGUCUCAUAAUCUUUUAUAUAUGCAUAGAUUAUGUUUAGACAACAAUUGUUGGUUAAUAUUCGAUGCUUUCUCUUUUUGGAUCCAGGACAAGGCCACAGGGAGAAUCCUAUUCCCGGGAGUAUGAAAUAAUGGACUAUAUCCUAUACCAUCUCUUAUACCACAUCAGUCUGCUUUAACUUCAAAAAUCAUGGCCUGCUUGGGAAAACUAGUCAAUUUAACUCUUUGGCACAACCGAUUAGGUCAUCCUUCUAACUCAGUUUCUUCUACAAUGCUUAAGAAGUCUAGCAUAGUUACUGUGCAUGAUACAUCUUCUACAAUGUGUAAAAGUUGUUUAGAGGGGAAAUUUAGCAAGUUACAUGUUCAGUCUGUUCAAACUAGGUCUGUGGUUCCUUUUGAGGUGAUACAUAGUGAUUUGUGGGGUCCAGCACCUUGUCAAUCUUUAGAUGGAUAUAAAUACUAUGUCCUAUUCAUAAAUGAAUGUACUAGAUUCAAUUGGAUUUUUCCCUUAAUAAAUAAAUCAGACCUUUUCUCUACAUUUGUCUCUUUCUAUCAUUAUGUUUGCACUCAAUUUACAACCAAAAUAAAAAUUCUGCAAAGUGAUGGAAGGGGAGAGUUUAUAAGCAAAAAGUUUCAAACAUUUCUCACUGAACAGGGUGUUUUCCAUCAGAUGUUUUGUUCCUAUACCCCUAAACAAAAUGGGUUAGCUGAACGUAAACAUAGGCACAUUGUAAAAACUGCCCUUACAUUGCUGCAAACUGCUCAUUUACCUCCAUUAUUUUGGACUUAUGCAUGUCAUACAGCAACCUACUUAAUCAAUAGAAUGCCAACUAUUGUUCUUCAUAACAAAUCACCAUUUAAAUUACUAUAUGAUGUUGUCCCUGAACUUUCUCACUUAAAGGUAUUCAGUUGUUCUUGCUAUCCUCUCCUUAAACCAUAUAAUACUUCCAAAUUACAACCUAAAACCUCUCGAUGCUUAUUUUUGGGAUAUGCUCCUCACUAUAAAGGGUACAUCUGUUAUCAUCUGGAUACCAAAAAGACCUACAUUUCUAGACAUGUCGUAUUCAAUGAACUCGAGUUUCCAUUUCCAUUCCUAUUUGUUUACGCUAAAGCUCAGAUUAUUACUCUCACUCCAUUACUUGACAAUGCACCACUACCAACUCCAAAUCUUCAAAAUGUUCUUGUUUCACCAUUUUCAAAUUCUAAAGUGCACACUUCAUCUACACCUAGAGAUACUCCAUCUACUAGAUCUCAGUCACCUCAAAUACAUGCACAACCAUCUCCAACACAUAGUCAAUCACCUCAAAUGCAUACAGAGUCAUGUCACAGAUCUAUUGAGUCCCCAGAUGUAUUGCAGACUUCUAGUUCUUAUGAUACUGAUACCCCAACCACACCACAGUCCAUUAUUGAUGCUCUAUCUCCUUCUUCAUCAACUCCUGUGGCACUUGAGUUUCGUCCUGAGACUCUCCAAGUAGUUCUUGAGAUUCCACCUAUGAAUCUCCACCCAAUGUAGACUUGAUCCAAAAGUGGUAUUGUGAAGCAUAAAGCCUUGUAUGCAUCAGUUUGUGAUUCUGGAGGGGUGAUCUUACUAUAACAGAGCCGGCAACAUAUAAGUCAGCUAUGAAAGAACUAGUGUGGCAUGAGGCUAUGAAUGAAGAGAUUGCAGCUUUACAUUCUCAAAGAACAUGGAGUCUAGUGGAUUUUCCACACAAUAAGAAUCUUGUUGGCUGCAAGUGGGUAUUUAAAAUCAAGAGGAAUUCUGAUGGGACAGUAGCGAGGUACAAAGCGAGACUUGUUGCAAAAGGGUUUAAUCAGGAGCAUGGACUCGACUAUGGGGAAACGUUCAGUUCGGUUGUUAAACCAACCACUGUCAGGUUAGUGUUAGCUUUGACAGCUCAUCAUGAUUGGCCUCUACAUCAAUUAGAUGUCAAAAAUGUCUUCCUUCAUGGCAUUUUACAAAAAGAAGUUUAUAUGACCCAACCUCCGGGAUUUGAAGAUCAUAAUCAUCCUCUUAAAGUCUGUAAAUUACACAAGUCUCUCUAUGGACUCAAGCAAGCCCUAAAGGCUUGGAAUGACAGGUUCACAAGCUUUCUACCUAAAUUGGGGUUCCACAAUACAUAUGAUGAUUCAUCAAUCUUUGUCAAGAGUUUUGGUUCUUCACUUGUGAUUCUGUUGCUCUACGUAGAUGACAUCAUAAUUAUUGGAAAUGCCAUUGAGAUGAUUGCAUAGGUUAUUGCAGAUUUAACACAUGAAUUUGAUCUCAAAGAUCUGGGGUUUCUCCAUUAUUUUCUUGGGAUACAAAUUACAAAAACAGAUGAAGAGUUGUUUCUAUCUCAAGAGAAGUAUGUGAAAGAUUUGUUGCAGAAAACUGAAAUGUUUGAUUAUAAACCAUGUGCAACUCCUUGCUUACCUUAUAACAGGUUAUUGAAGGACGAUGGGGAACCUUUUAAUAAACAUAGUCUCUAUAGAAGUAUUGUUCGUGCCUUACAAUACUUGGUUUUUACACGGCCUGACAUAGCCUUUUCAGUACACCAAGUUUGUCAGUUUAUGCAAUUUCCAAUGGCUUCUCAUUAUUUGGCUGUGAAGAGAAUCUUGAGAUAUCUCAAAGGGACUAUGGCACAUGGAAUUUGAUAUACUAAAGGCAGUUUAACAUUCCGAUCUUUUAGUGAUGCUGAUUGGGUUGGAGAUCCUAAUGAUAGGCAUUCUACAACAGGUUUUGUUGUGUUUCUUGGUAACAAUCCUAUCUCUUGGGCUUCAAAGAAAAAACAAACAGUAUCAAGAUCAUCAACUGAAGCUGAAUAUCGAGCUCUCUCAUCCACUGUUGCUGAAUUGGAUUGGCUGUAACAAUUAUUUCAGGUUUUACAAGUUCAAAUUUCUCACCCACCAGUUCUUUUUUGCAGCAACCUUUCUGCAAUCACAUUGUCCUUUAAUCCAGUGCAACAUCAGCGCACAAAACAUAUUGAAGUCGAUGUUCAUUUUGUGAGAGCGCGUUGCAAGCAAGUAGCUCUUGGUUCAGUUUGUCUCUUCUUCCGAGCAGUUUGCUGACAUUCUUACCAAAUGACUAAGUUCGCAAUUGUUUAAUACACACUGCAACAAUCUCAUGAUUGGACCACCAUGAGCUUGCGGGGGGGGAUGUUAAAAUAUAUAGGAUAUGGAAGGUGUGGAUCAUGACACAUGUAAUCAGCCAAAUAGAGAAGGCAGUUAGGAGUGUGGAUGUUAGAAUAAUUAGUUAGGAUUGGUGGUAAGUAAUUGAGUUGGUUAAGGCAGUUAGCUAAGUACUCAUCUAUAGCAAUUGUACCCUUUGUAACAAGUAUCAAUCAAGAAAAUAAGAAAAGCAAUUCAUUCUCUCUCUCUCUCUCACCUUCUCUGGUUUCUUCUUCUUCCUCCUUUGUGAUCUUCUCUGUUUUCUUUCUGCAUACUACUUAACAAUGGCGGCGCAUGAGGGCGUGUGCGGCGGCCGUGGGGGUACCUGAGGUCCCCCUUAUAUUUUUUGAUGUCCUGAAUCCGUUUAAGACAUCUGUUUUCUGAAAUUCAAUCGUUAUGAUAGAGUUUUAUUAAUUCGACCCUUUAUAUGCUUAAGUGCAAUUAUUAGUGGCGAUUCCGUCCUUCCUAUUUCAUACGGCUCUUCGACGAUGGAGUAUCUGUGAGUGGACCCCUUCUAAAAUGCAUGUUUUAAUAGUAGAAAUGCAUACAUGAAAAGCAUGAUUUAUUGGUUACGUUUUAUGAAACGUUUUACAAGUAAAUUAGUUUUACACUUUAUGAUUAUCAUGCUUUACUGAGAAUAUUUUGGAAUACCAUACUUUAUCGAAUUUAUAUUCUUUGUAGUAUAUAUGAUGGAUGACUAUAUACUAUUUAUGAACAUGUUUUUACACUCCUAGUAUAUAUGAUGGAUGACUACAUACUAUGAAUAUGUUUUGAGAUAUAUGUACGUAUGUUGGAAAGAUUAUAUUCAAUGUUUUGUGCUUAUCUAGUGGUCAUUAUUCUGCAUACGGGCGAUGAUACUUAUUGGCCUACGGAUCGGGUGAUGUGGGGGCCUACGCGUCGGGUGAUGUAUGGGCUUACGGGUCAGGUGAUGUAGGGGCCUAUCGGUCGGAAGAUAUUAUAUUGGCCUACAUGUCGAGUGAUGUAGGGGUCUACGGGUCAGAAGAUAUUAUAUUGGCCUACGGGUCGGGUGAUGUAAGGACCAACGAGUCGAUUAUGAUACCACUAUUUAGCACAAUAUGUAUAUACGAUACAGGUUUUAUGUCAUGCUAGGGUUUUCGGAAAAACCUAUUAUAUAUUAUACUAUUGAGUUUUCAUAAAACUUUGGGGGUUAGUACGUUAUUGCAUAACUGUUUCAAUAUUAUAUAUAUAAAACUUUGAGGGUUAGUACGUUAU
rnacentral:lncRNA from 1 species